rnacentral:lncRNA from 1 species
UCCUAGUAUCUGAUGGGACUAUGACAGUUUCUUAGUCUUAUAUUAAAAAGGCAUGCACCUAAUCACACCUAAACAAUAGAUCAUUACAAUAUUAGUAUUUUUAGUAUUUAUUGUUCUAUUGUAUACUUCUAUUGUACUUAAAUAAAAAAAGAUGUUAAUCUUAAAAUUGAGAUGAAAAAGCUCCUCUCACCUAAUUAAAUUUUUCACUCCUUGAAUUCCUUUAGUAAGAGUCAUGAAAGAAAUGAUCAUUUUGAAAUGAGAGUCUAUUCAAUUUUUCAUAUCCUUCUUUAUUCACAAGUAUGCCUAUUUAUAUAUUUUUGAUGAGGCUGUAGUGGGGAUCAACUCUUUUCCUUUGAUGGCACAUUACAAUUGUUGAUUAGUGAGCUUUAAUUGAAUUUGUUACAUUUUUACAUUUUAUUCAUCAUGCCCUACGUCCUUUACUCAUUGGUUAUGAAGUAAUAUUUAACAUGUUUAUCAAUCUUACCAGGUGUACUUCAAUAACAUUUUUGUUGAUGUGGAAUAACAUGUGGAAACAACUAAAAGUAUACGUGUUUAUUCAAUAAUUUUGCAUUCAGAUGCCUUGUGCUCUUGUUGUUUACGUUUAGGAUCAAACAUAAAAGCUUCUUAUUAUUAAUGCUCAUUGAUAAUGGCUAAAGAAUGUACAUGAUCUAACGAUUUUAUAAUUUAGAAAUCGUCAAUAGUGGCAUGUGUUCGAUCAAGCGAGCUUAAGAUAAAAUCGCAAAUCAAUAUUCUUUCAUUAAUCUCUAUAAAUUUAAUUGAUAUAAAAGAGAAGGAUGUGAGCUUUGGCUCUAAACUUUAUAAUUUAAUGCAUUUAGCAUACCUUUGCUUAUUAACUUUCGUUUGAAACAAUGGAGAGACUACUAAUGAAAUUAUCCUUAAUUUUUGCCAAGCAUUGACCUUUGAUUUCAAGGUCUCCAACAAUGAGGUUGAAUAUGAAGCAUAGAUAGCCCAUUUGAGAAUGGCCAAAGAACUGAAAGUGGUUAAGCUGGUAAUACAUGUUGAUUGUUAGCUCAUUGUUAAUCAAAUUAAUGAGGUAUUCCAAACAAAUGAGGAUAAAAUGAGUAUUUACCUCAAAGCUGACCGGAAGGAAUUACAAAAUUUUGAAAUAAUGGAGGUAAAACAAAAAAAUAGUCACUCUGACGAGUUGGCAAGAAUCGUAACUAGGAAAGAAGUGAAUGAGUUGGAUCGUAUCCCUUUCAGAAAAGUUAGACAUUUUGCCAUUAAGAAAGAUGUCAUGACGUUGAUGGUCGUAGACUCCUAAGCCACAUGGAUGGAUGAGAUCAUACAAUUUCUCAAAAUUGGAGAAAGUUCCACGGACCCAACUAAAGCUAAGAAGUUGAAAAUAAGGCCAGCUAUGUACACUUUAAUGGAAGUUGUUCUCAUCGUAUUACUAAAAUGUCUGAAUGAAGAGGAUGUCCUAUAUGCUCUACAAGAGUACAUGAAGGAAUUUGAGAGAAUCACGUUGGGGGACAAUCCUUAGCUCAUAAAAUUUAAAGGCAGGGAUAUUUCAGACCUUUACAAAACGAGAUGCCUUAAACUUUGUAAAAAAGUGUGAUAAAUGUCAGUGGUUUGCACCCAUUAACCGAGCUCCCCUAGAAGAGCAUACUUCCAUCAUUAGCCCAUGUCUAUUUUCAAAGUGGGAGAUAGAUCUCAUUGGGCCAAUGUAUAUUGGAAGAGGUGGAACAAAAUUUGCUAUUCAACUGUUGACUAUUUCAUCAAGAGAUCGAGCCUUUUAAAGAAAAUAAUUGAGCAUAAAAUCACAAUAUUCAUCUGGAAAUCGAUCAUUUGUAGAUUUAGGAUCCCACAUUCAAUAAUCAUUGACAAUGGAAAGCAAUUUGACAACACAUAAUUAAGGGCCUUUUGUGAAGCGCUCAACAUUAAAAAAUAUUUCUCUAGUCCAAAUUACACGAGCUAAUGGGCAAGUUGAGGAGGUCAAUAUGAUAGUCAUGCACCCUUUGAAAAAAGGAGCAUGGACAGAUAAACUCUCAAGUGUGCAAUGUUCCUACCAUAAGACCUCACGAACUAGCAUCGGAGAAAUACCUUUCUCCUUUACAUUCGAUGUGGAAGUAGUAAUUCCUCUUGAAAUUAGAGUCAUUUCAUUUCAAAUUGCAUUUUUCAACCAAAAACUAUGAAAAAGCAUUAUGUGUGGAGCUCGACUUGGUAGAAGAAAAAAGGGAUGAAGCUGAGCUCAGGACAAUAGUUUACAAACAAAGGAGUUCAAGCUACUACAACCAGAAAGUGAGUAUAAGGAAAUUUGAAGUUGGUGAUUCGGUGUACAAAAAAUCUUUCUAGCCACUAGGGAACUUAACACAUGAUCAUUAGCUUCUAAUUGGAAAUGAUCCUACAAAGUUACCAAAAUUCUCUCUAAAGGCUCUUGUGAGCUUGAAGACAUGCAAGGAUAUCCUCCUUUGCACCCUUAGAACGCAAAGCACCUCAAAAAUAUUACCAGUAAAUUGCUAAAUAUACUGUUUUGUGUAAUCACGUUCGAAAAAUGAACUUUCGUUUAAACAAUUCCAAACCCACACAAUACAUAAAAAAUCCAAAGCCCAUUCCACAAAAGCAUGAGCUAAGGUUGUAAGUACCGCAACACUUAGACAAUAAAUUUCAUGGAAAUAUGACAGUUUUCUAGCUUAGUCUUAACUAAGUGUGAUCAUGUUGCAACAUUUGGUUUCCCAAUACAAAAUUUGAAAGCCUGUUUCUCAGUAGCAUGAGCUAAGGUUGUAAGUACUACAUUGCUUAUAUAAUAAAUUUCAUGAAAAUAGGACAUCUUUUUAGCUCUAUUUGAAUUAAAUGUGACCAUGCUGCAACACUUAGUAAAAUUUCUUAUAUGAAAUUUCAAAAGCCUGCUCCUUUGUAUCAUGAGAUUAGUUUGUAAGUGCUACAACAUUUAGACAAUAAAUGUCACGGAAAUAGGACAACUUUUCAGCUCUUUCCUUACUAAGUGUGACCAUGCUGCAACACUUCGUAAAACUUCGUACUUGAAAUUUCAAAAAUUUGCUCCUCCGCAGUAUGAGCUAAGGUUGUAAGUGUUGUAAUAGUGCUCGUGCCGCAACAACUAGUCUAAUAUCCUACAUGAAAUUUUUGAAAUCUUCUUUUUUAAAAAAAAAAAAUCUUUAAAAAAAAAAUUAACUAAUAUAAGUUUGUCUAAAUUAUUACAUGUAGGCAACUGAGUAAAAUAGAAAGAAAACUACACUAACAGUCGCUCGUAUUAUUGAUUCGAAACGCUAAAAAAUAAUUUAAUUUGAAUUAAAAAUUACUCAAAUUAAACAAGAACAUUCAUGUAGUGGGUCAAAAGAUUAGUUAUUUCAUUUAAAAGAAUCAUUCCCAGGCUACAUCAAAACAAAGCAAAUUUUACCAAUGAUCACGAAAAGGAAUUGCCAAAUUAAACAAGAACAAUCAUAUAACAAGAGGAAGGUUUCCUUCAGGGUCAACUCGCUAAUCUAGAAUAGGAGCCACCUCUUCAUCUUAAGCCCCAGAAAGAUAAAUCCCUAUCAUGUUUGCUAAAAGCUCCUCUCGACGCUCCAGUUGCUGAUGAAGAAAGCUGGUGUCAAGGUUAAGUACCUUUGCCCCAAUAAUAUUGAUGAUAUCAUGCAAAGCUACCACAUAAACCUCUUGGCUCAUAGCUUCAGCUUUUGGAGAUGAUUUCCAUUUCUCCACUACUCUACUUAUUUUACCCACUCUUCAUCAGUCCAUUCCUUCUCCAUUUCCAUCACCUGAACUACAUCUGUAUUUUUGAGUUUUUUGGCUCCAACUCCCAUUUAACUGACUCAGCCUUAUCGUUAUCUGCCAACAUCCUUUUCCAACCGAAACCUUAGCAAAACUUCACUAUACAAACAAGCUGCCAAUCAAUUUUCUCCUCAACCUAUUUUGCUUCUACUCUCAAAUCACGAGGCCUUUUCAUCUUUAGCAGUCCUUUGCAAAGCCAACACAUCUUAACGUAUUUGUUAAUGGCAUCCUCCUGCAUUAUAAUUUGCAAAAGAAAAAGAAAAUGGCUAAUAAAUGAGUUAAUAAAGUACAAAGUAGAGGAAAUUAUUUUCCUUUGUUAGAGAUAGACAUUAAGAUGAUAGAGCGAUGGGCAUAAACUGUUGCAGUGAUGUAGGACUCCUCUACACUCAUUUGGCCCAAUUAUCUCUGCUUAUGACCAUUCUAACUUUUGGUUAGAAGGCGAGCUAAAUUCCUGAGAAGAGAAGGAAUGGUAGAUGUCAUGGCCAUGGGUGGAGAUGGAGCUCUCUAAAUGUCUAUCAAAACUUCUAGCUAGAUUCCUACUAGCUCAUCCAAAUUGGAUCUAGGUAAAUCACUAUAAGUAGAGCUAGAGCAAACAAGAGAAGAAGUUAGAAGGAGAACCUUCGGAGGAUAUAGAAUAAUUGGUUCUGACCUUUCUAGCAGAGAUGAGGGUGGGAUUGGAGGGAAAGAUGGGCUUUCCUAAACAAGUUGCCUUUAAAUGCCUAACUAAUGGGACAUUAGUUUUUGCCACUCUUUUCUUUUGGCCUCAUGAAGGAUUGAUCGUCUUACUAGCCUCAGUAAAACCCUUGAUAUCUAUGUCUAUACCCAUUGAGGAAAACAUUAUUAUACUUCAGAAAUAAAAAUUGUGAGAAAAAGCCAUAAAUCAAAAACCUUCCAAAAAGGAAGUGGAGCUUUUGUAACAAAUAAGCCAGCCUGGAAAAGAUUGGAGUCACUUAUCAACGACAAAUAGGAUGCUACUUACAAUAAAGGGCUAUGAUCUCAUUUGCCCUCUCCUACAGCUUUAAAAUGAUCCUCGAUUGUAGGUACGCUGCAAAAAGAAAAGUUAGUUGUAACCUGCUCAUUAAAACAUUUGGAAAAUAUAAAAUAAUUACUAGCUUAUUUACUUUGUUAUAAUCGGUGGGCACAACCUCAUCCCUUUUCGCCUCAGAUGGAUGGAAUUGCUAAUCACCUUAGAUAAAGAAGAAUUCUUCUUUCCAUCUCUUGAUUGAAGAAGGAGAAUCUACAACCACAAAAGCCCCUCAUGUUUGAUCUUAUGCUAGUAUAAUACCACCCGAGUUUUUCUUGUCCUCUUUGAAGUUAUAAAGAGCAUUAAAAUGCUCAACAGUAAGCUCCAGAAAAUCCAGAUUAUGCCCUAAUAGUAAGUGUCCAAAAUAGUCCUCCACCCAUUCGGGUGGAGCUGAGUACGAGCCAUUCCCUAGGCAAAUAAAAAUGUACGAAUAAUGGGUGGAAAAGAGAGCCUAAGAUUGCCAGAAAAUAAGGUAGAGCUUAAGGCUACACAACAUUCUAGAGGAUCUCAAAAGCUUGAUCAUGUGGGAAAUAAAUGAUCAUUUCAAUCAGAAGUAUGUAUAUGGUAGGUCCUUUGCCAUUUCCCUAACUGCCUAGAUAACAUUGACGAUUUGAUAUGUAAGCAUUCCACCCCAUCUUCUCAUGCUUCAUCAUCGCCUACUUCAUCCACUACAUCAUUCCCAGAUUUUAUCUCUAAGUAGACCUACCAUCGCUGCAUCAUCCCCAGAAUGUACAAGUAAGACAGGAUGACAAUGCUUUAUUAUGGACACUACAGUUCUACCAAGUCGGACUACAGAGCAAGAGAAAAUACUUUAUGUACCUUUGACCCUGAGGAAGAACCUUGUUCAUUAGAAAGGAUGGACUCCUCCUGAUCGUUCCCCACAAAUGUAGCCUACUCUCAUCAGAAUUCAUACCCAUCGAAUAUAAGAAAAAAGUUUAAGGUAAAGAUAAAGACAGAGGAAGUGAGAACAAAAAUAUACCUGUUAGCUGGAUGAUUUAAAUAAAAUCAAGAACAAAAAAUAGGAAAACUCUCUUGAAUGGCCAAAGAGGAUAGAAAGAUAUCUUGGAUGAAAAUAUGAAGAAAAAAGAAGAAAUAGUAGGUAUUUAAAGGAGAUGAAGUUGCGAGACCAAAUCUAGGCCAUUCAAUGUAGAGAUGGCAAAAAAACCGCCAAACCAGAUAUCCGAGGGGUCUCGCCCAGAAUGGGGUGGGGAUUAUUAACUUAAUCGGGUAUUUGGGUCGGGGACUGGGGCGAGGGAUUUCGACCCAGGGCAGGUACGGAUAACAAGGGCCCUGCCCUGCCUCGUUUAACCUUAUUUUAUUUUAUUUUAAGAAUUCAAUGCUUUAAUGAAAAAUUCCACAAAAUUUCAUUAAUUCUAACGAAAGAUGAUUAUUAAGAUUAUUUAAGGAAUAUGAUAAACAAUAAAAUUUUUAGUUUAACAAAUAUAUUUCAAUAAUUUAACUUUUAAAAAUAAAUAAAUUAAUUAAAAAAAAAUUAAUAACUAUAUUAUUGUCUCACCUUAAUGAAUGGGGACAAUAAAAUGAAUCAUAAAAAAUAAAAAUAAAAAAUUAAUGGGUACUAAAUGGGACGAGGGCAAUACCCUGCCCCCAACCCAACCUGGCCCAACCCGAUUUGCCCUACUUUAAACGGGUAACGAGGUGGGUUCGGAGUGAAAACUUACCUAGCGGGAUGGGACGGGUUGUCCUGUCCCGAUGCCUUGUUGCCAUCCAUAAUUCAAUGAGAAAAAAAGGGGAGAAAUUGAAAUAUCAUGGAAGUAAAAAGGUGUACCCUUUAACAACAUUACAAAUGGCAUUAAAUUAGUCAUUCUUUUAUCCCACUCACAACCUUUCAUUCUCUAGAAAGAAUAAAAUAGAUUAAUUUAUAAAAAAAAGUCCAUAUUUUACCACGGUAAAAAUUUGAACCUUGGGAGAUAUUUGUUGGGAUAUGAACUAAAAUGGCAGCACUAACCUAUCACAAAUAAAGAAAAAUCCACCUUAGCUCUUUAAGAAUAUGUCAUUUCGCCAAUAUGCCAUAGCCAUCUAGAAGCAUAAUUAUUACUCAAUGCAACUUCAUAUUCCUAGAUAUUGUUAUCACCAUUUAUGCAACCAAUCUAGAAGAAACAGGUGCUAGGCAAUGAUAGCUGCACCACUCUUUUAGCCAACAAUCAGUUAGUAAUGAUUAACCACCACCCUAAAGACUAUUUUGGCUGACAUCAAUGAUAAAUCAAAAUUCUCAAAAAAUCAAAUAAUGGCACAUGCUAUAAGGACACUAAGGUUGAUGAUGUGAUGCAUGGCCGCCAACUACCUAGCUGAAAGCUUAUAAAUAAAUACACAAACUUAAGUUACUCUCUUUACAUGCUUUAAAUUCACUCCAAUUAAUACAACAAUCUUCCCUUUUUACUAUUUUAGCAUUUCACCUCGUACGAAUCAUCUAUUAAGUUGAUAAUAUUUGACCUAGUUAUUUUUUUAACAUCGACAUAUUUAUUUAUAAUAACAGUUAUUUAUGAGCACUUCCGAUUAUUCGAUGAACCUAUGGCAGUUUCUUAGUCCUAAAUUAAAAAGACAUGCAUUUAAUCAUACCUGAACAAUAAAUCAUUACAAUAUUGUAUUUAUUGUUCUAAUGUUAUACUUAUAUUGUACUUAAAUAAAAAAAAUGUUAAUAUUGAAAUUGAAUGAAAAAAUUCCUCUCACCUAAUUAAAUUUUUACUCCUUAUACUCCUUGAAUUCCUUUAGUAAGAGUUACGAGAAAAAUGAUAUUCUUCUUUAUUCACAACUAUGCCUAUUUAUAUAUUUUUGAUGAGGCUGUAGUGAUGAUCAACUCUUUUCCUUUGAUGACACGUGAAAAUUGUUGAUUAGUGAGCUUUAAUUGAAUUAUUUAUCUUUUUACGUUUUAUUCAUCAUUCCCUAUGUCCUUUACUCAUUGGUUAUGAAGUAAUAUUUAACAUGUCUAUCAAUUUUAUUCACGUGUACUUCAAUAACUUUUUUGUUAAUGUGGAAUAACAUAUGGAAACAACUAAAAGUAUAUUGGUUUAUUCAAUAAUUUUGCAUUCAGAUGUCUAGUGCUCUCGUUGUUGAUGUUUAGGAUCGAAUAUAACGCUUCGUAUUGUUAAUACACAUUAUAAUGGCUUAAGUUUGUACAUGAUUUAAUGAUUUUAUAAAUUAGAAAUCGUCAAUAGUAGCACGUGUUCGCACAAAGCACGCUUAAGAUAUAAUCGCAUAUCAAUAUUCUUUCACUAAUCUUUGUAAAUUUAAUUGAUACAAAAGAGAAGGAUGUGAGCUUUGGCUCUAAACUUUACAAUUUAAUGCAUCUAGCAUGCCUAAUUAACCGACGUCGAAACAAUUAGGAGACUCUUAAUGAAAUUAUCCUUAAUUUUUCCAAGAAAUAACAAUAAAUUCUAAGAGUAAUAUACACAACUUUGUAUUUAAUAAUUUGAUUGCAAUUUUUAAAUUUAAACAACGAAAUCAAUCUCAAUUUCAUCUCUUUCGAAUCACAAAACCAAGAACCAGCCACCUUUUUUUUUUGUUUUUUUUUUGGUUUUUUGAUAGACUUAUAGGUGUGAAGUGAAUAGUAAAAUAUAAAAAGACUCAAGUAUAGAAAUUUUUUGACAGAUUGAUUAUCGAAGUUGACGUGGCAAAAUGUGAUUCACUUGUUUUUUUUUUUUUUUUUAAUUUUUUCAUCUUUCAAUGAAUACAUGCCAAAUGUUGUCUGUAAAUAUUUUCUAUCAAAAUUGUCUGUACUUGUAGCAUGACUGUAGUAAAAUAUUGACAUGACAUGUUGGCUGGACCGCUUACAGGCCCAACAUGAUAAAAAGCAUUCGGACUCAAUCUACUUAAAAUCCUUACUUUUGGUGUCAAGUGUUUGCUCCCAUAUAGUUUUGGGAGGCAUUCAAAAUUUCCAACCCUGGGGUCAAUUGCCAGUACUUUUGUGACAGUCGCUCUCACUUCCCUCGUCAGUUUCACUAUCAGGCAUCAUCAGCCUAUAAGCAAUCAAUUUUGCUGUUUUAGACCGACCCUCACAGCAGGUGGGUCCAUCCGAAAUCCACCUGUAUAAAUAAUUGGCCAAAACCCAACCCUCUCGCGAGUGCUCGGUAGGGUUGUGUACCCUAUACCUCAAGAAUAUAAGCAAUACCCGCGUUCGCACCAUCAAGUUGAGUUUCAAUCUCUUUCCACAAUUUUGAUUCGAAUUCAUAUGAUUGACCAUCAAAUUGCUUAUUAUCAAUCAAAUUUUCAGUUCUCUUUUCAGCUAUAAUCGUAAAUCGCUUCAAUUUCUUAUUCCACCACUCUGAAAAUUCAUUAAAAAAGGGAAAAUGAAGCUGACACCGAGAGAAAUUGAAAAGCUGAUGCUCCAUAAUGCUGGAUACCUUGCGCAGAAGCGUUUAGCUCGUGGCAUGAGACUCAAUUACACUGAAGCUGUUGCUCUUAUAGCUACUCAGGUAUUCGUAUUCUCUGAAUUUUGGGGAUUUUAAUUUAGAAAAAUUACGUUUAUUUUAAUUAUCCAAACCGCGCGUAACAUUGCACGAAUGUGUUUCGUUUUCAUUUUUAUUAGUUUUUGAAAUAGGUAACUUUUUUCACUGGUCAUCAGGGGCAGAGCUAGAACAAAAGAUUUGUGGGGACAAAUUACAAAAAAAAAUUUGAUUGUGGGGGCAAAAAAUGAAAAUUAUAAGGAUUUUUUUUUUUUUUUUAGCCGGGCCGAGCACAAAAAUUUUAGGCUUGACCCGAGCUUUCGGCUCGGACCUUUUCUAGCCGAUGGACAGGCCCGUUUUUUUUCUCUCCCCCCCUUUUUUUUUCUUAUUUACUACCAUAAGGAUUUUUUUCUUAAUAAAGGCUCACGGGUUCACAGACUAGCUCAGGCAAAGACCGUGUCCCAAAAAUGGGGCUGAGCUUUUGUGACCCUAGUCGACAAGCUCGAUUGACAUCCCUAGCUGUCCCCACGCUAAAUCCGUCCUUGUGGUCAUGGUUAUUGUAUGGUAACAGUUGCAUAUCAAAUUAUAUUUUGAAAUAAAAAUUUUAAUUAAGCAUUUGCUUGGUAAAGAUUUUUUCAAGUAAAAAAUGAAUUUUUAAAUUUUUUUUAUUUUUUUCCUCCAUAGAAUGUGUGUCUGAGAAAAGCAUUCUAAAAAAUUCUCUCGAAAAAAUACCCUAAAAGUGAGUUUUACUUGCCUCACGCAUAGCUAAUAAAGCCUUUGUGAGGAUAGAUCACUUUAUCUUGUUUUGCAUUUGUUAUUUUCUGUUUGUCUUAAAAACUGGGUUGGUUUAAUGUACUAUCUUUUUGGGUUUAUUGAACAGAUUUUGGAGUUUGUGCAUGAUGGUAACAAUAGCGUGGCUGAGUUGAUGGACCUUGGCAGGCAGUUUCUGGGAAGGUAGUAUCAGAUUCUAUUUAGAUUUGCUUUAUUUAUUUUUGUAGUGAAGAUACUAUGGUGAUUAUGUGGAUUUGAAUUUUGAUAAUGCCAUUAGUCUGUUCCAUGCAAACAAGAUUUCUGAUAUGAAACGCUUUGAUAAAUAGAUGAAUAAAAUGAAGAAAGUGAAAUCCAUUUAAUUAAUUUGGUGAAGCGAAGAAUUGAGUUUCCUAGGAAGGGAGAAUAGAAGGCAGGAGUUAGUGAAGAUAACUUGUUUCUGCUGCCUUUUGUCGGGGUGUUACGCAUCAAUAAAUUAGAAGACCAGACAUUUAAUAAAUGAAGCAAACAGAAGGUUCAUUUUAGAAAAAUAGAUGCCUUGGAAGCGUUUUUGGCAUUUAAAAGUUGUCCCUCUAAUUUAACCCUUGUUUGAUCCUCAAUAUUUUCAAAAUAUAUUUUUCUCUCUCUUCUUUUCAACCCCACAUUCUUCAAUAAAAAAUAUUAUGCGCAAAUUCAAAACUUUUUCUUAUAUUUUAACUACACAUUUUCAUCAAUCUAUUAUUCCAAAAUGCAUUCUUAGCAAAAAAAUUGGGCUCAAACAAACUCUUAGCCUAUGUCCCCGUUUUUUCAAAAAUUCAUUUAUUCAAAAUUCAUUUUCAACCAUAUAUUCUCUUAUUAAAUAAUAUUACACGUAUUUUCUUAUUUUUUAACCAUAUAUUCUCCUGAAAAGUCACCAUUCCAAAAUUCAUUUUCCCCCAAAUUUCCAUUAAAAUAGAGUCUAAACAAGGGCUUAGUUUGCAGAAGGUUGAAAUACUAGAAGGUGAAAAGCCAUGGUCUGAAAAAUGUUUCCUGAAGUUAUGUGCAAAUAAAUGACUCUGGUGAGGAAAUACUCAUGAAAAUAUAAUUGGUAAUUCAUAGUUCUUGUUGGAUUGUAAUUAAUUAAUAGUACUCUGGAUACCUCCUUGGCAGAAAUCACAAAUUCUGAGAGAUAUCUUCUCUGUUUACAGGAGACAAGUUCUUCCAACUGUUCCUCAUCUGUUGUAUACAGUUCAGGUACUAAACCUCAUUGACCCAUAUGAAAUUGACUCCCUUUGACAUUGUAGAGAGGGAUCAAAGUUCAUGUAAAUUUAUUUUUAACUGCUGACUUUACACGUAGGUCGAAGGUACCUUUCCUGAUGGGACAAAGUUAAUCACAGUUCAUGAUCCAGUAGCACGUGAAAAUGGAAAUCUGGAGCUAGCUUUACAUGGCUCUUUUCUUCCGGGUAAUUAUCUUGUAUAACUUCACAGAAUCUUCACGGAGUUUGCUUUCUAUUAUUUGCAACAAAUAUAUGUUGUAUAACUUCUUCAAUUUACCACUUGCAUCUUCGCAAAAUGUUCAUACCCUUUCUUGUAUUAGUCUCACAUUAAACUGUAUUGUCACUUUUGCUUCCGUCAGGAUAAAUCUGACCCCUUCCCUUAGCAAAAUUUGAUAAAUGAAGGAAGCGGCUUAUGAUUUACUUGAAUAUGAGGACUGCUCUAAAUUGCUAACCUGUCAGCUAUUUACUUUUUCAGAAGAAAUUUGGCCUCAAAAUAACCACAUAGCCUGAUAGGUAUAUUUAUAUUACCUAUGUUGUUGGUUAGAAGUAUUUAUCUCUAAUUUUAUUUUGGUUUUCUGUGUAGAGGGAUUGCAGGUUCUAUAGAACUUCUCCAGUUUUGGGAUUCUUGAAUCUUAGCCCUUGAUUGGGCCUCAUUUUCUAGAAAAAAAUGCAUUUUUUAACAGUGUUUUGAUACCAUUUCAACCACACAUUCUUCAAUAAAAUAAUAUUACACGCAAAUCCAAAAGUUUUUCUUAUUUUUUAACCACACAUUUCCCGUCAAAACAGAAAUUCAUUUUUUCCUUCAAAAUGGGACUCAAACAAGGGCUUAGUUCUUGUUUGGGAGAAAUUGUAAUGGGAUUAUAAUAAAUAGGAGUAAUUGUCCCAAGAAAUAUGUGAAAAUAAGUGGGUAAUAGUUGUGAAUUUGUGGUUAAAAUUAAAUUUUGAUUUUGACUUAAAAUUAUAAGGAGAUUAUAAUUUUCCCGAACUUGCUCUAGUAGGACUUGCAGUUAGUAUAUGAUCACAUGUAAUGACCAAACUUUGAACUUUGUGGCAAACCUAUCCUUUAGAAACUUAUCAUGAAACAUUCUGUUCCAUAAUCUAAAUCCAACUUUAUUUGUAGUCUAUUCUACAAAAAUGGCUUAAUUAUUGCUCUCCACAUUUUAUAUUCUUGAUCAUGCAUGUGAAAAGCUCAAUGUAUCAUGAUUAUUUGCUUCACAAGCUUAAUUUGUUGCCUGUGCACUCUGAAAAUAGUAAGUUUGUAUGAAGUGGUUCCUUCUAAACGUCAGUGUGUUUUGCUUACAGUUCCUUCAUUAGACAAGUUUCCCACAGUUGAAGACUGUAAAGUUCCUGGUGAAAUAAUAUGUGGAAGUGGACAUAUCAUACUUAACUGUGGAAGGAAAGCCACAAUUCUGAAAGUAGCUAACAUGGGUGACAGGCCGAUUCAGGUACUUGAAAUAAAGCUUAAAUUUCCAUUCUUUUCCAAAGUGGUUUUUGUGCUUUAUUUCAAAUUAAGAGAGAUGACGACAUGCAGCUAGAUAUUAGCAAAAAUAAUCUGAUCUAAGCAACAAAAAAUGUUGUGAGAGAUAUUGAUGAAUUUUUCUUAUUCAGGUUGGGAGCCACUAUAACUUUAUUGAGGCGAACCCAUUCUUGGUUUUUGAUAGAAGGAGAGCAUGCGGUAUGCGGCUAAAUAUCCCGGCAGGGACAGCAACACGCUUUGAGGUUACUGCUGUGACCCUCUUUACUUCACAUUGACCCAGUUGUAUUUUUCUUCCCUCAUAUAUCAAAUUUUAGUGUAUUAAGAUGGAGUUUAAUCUAUAAUUCUUGCACACAUUAUUCUUCUGUAAUAUAACUGUGGCUCAUCUAACAUGUACGGAACACAUGCUUAGCUAAGAUGGCAUUCCCCAAAGAAUAAUCUACAGUAUCUAGCUACUUGUGCAUAGAUCUAAUUUGCUUGCUAAAAGCUUGUUUAGUUUCUGCACAUAAAAUCUUUCAAUCUGUUGGCGAGUUGAUUUAUCCACCCCAAAUACCCUUAUAGUAAUGAUAAAUUUAUCCCACAAAAAAUAGAAAAUUUGAUGCGAGACAUGAUUCACAUGACCACAACUUGUUCAGAAUUUGGUCAAUCCUAUUACGAUCUCUAUUUGAGCUUGUAGACCUGCCAAUCAAAAUUUUUGUUUUUUGUUUUUUUUCGGCUAAUUGACGUGACUCUUGAUCCACUUGACUUGAGUUGGAAUUUUCUUAUUCAAGCCUGAACUCUUCUGUAACUUGCUGAUAUAAAAUCAAUUUUAGGAAAGUUUACUUUCUAAGUCGCCUCUUUUUAACAAUCUUUGUUAAGACUGGGUACUAUACUUUUAGUUUGUCUAAUCAGUGCCCAUCUCUGAAAUACUUCUCCUUUUGACUUGCUAAGCACUAUAAUCUAUCCUCAGGCUGUAGAGAUACAAAUGUUGUACAAUUGUAUUGAUAUUUAUCUUACUCUGUUAGCCAGGAGAUGCAAAAAGUGUUACUCUUGUCAGGAUUGGAGGCAAACAGGUGAAUCUUUGUUAAGACUGGGUACUAUACUUUUAGUUUGUCUAAUCAGUGCCCAUCUCUGAAAUACUUCUCCUUUUGACUUGCUAAGCACUAUAAUCUAUCCUCAGGCUGUAGAGAUACAAAUGUUGUGGGAAAAAAAAAAAAUACAAUUGUAUUGAUAUUUAUCUUACUCUGUUAGCCAGGAGAUGCAAAAAGUGUUACUCUUGUCAGGAUUGGAGGCAAACAGGUUAUUCGGGGAGGAAAUGGAAUUGUUGAUGGCUCAGUAGAUGAUGCUAAAAUCAUAUCAGUGAUGGAAGCUGUACAUAAAGGGGGAUUUGGUGUUGCAGAGGAAAAUGCAAGGUUAGGAAGCUUUUAUUUUUCUCUUUUAAGUAGAGAGCAGAACACUCUGUUUGGCUUUUCAUGAAUUUGCGUUAGUUUUAUACUCUGUUAUUUUGGUUAUGAAUAUAGCAGAUGCUAAAUUUCGAACUGAUUUUUCAGUUGCAGAGAAGGUGUCAUCGAAGAAGGGUCUGAUUUAUCUUAUGUGCUUUCUCGUGAAACCUAUGCUAAUAUGUAUGGCCCCACCACUGGUGAUAAAAUUCGUCUUGGGGACACUGAUUUAUUAGCAGAAAUUGAAAGAGAUUUUGCUGUUUAUGGGGAUGAGUGUGUAUUUGGUGGUGGAAAAGUGCUGAGAGAUGGAUCGGGACAAUGUUGUGCAUAUCCAUCAUGUGACUGUUUGGACACUGUCAUAACAAAUGCUGUUAUCAUUGACUAUACUGGAAUAUUUAAAGCAGAUAUUGGCAUAAAAAAUGGUCUUAUUACCUCCCUUGGGAAAGCUGGCAACCCAGAUGUCAUGGAUGAAGUACCUCACGACAUGAUUGUUGGAGUGAGUCCAGUGUAUCAUAAUGGUGGUUGUGUUGCAGGUACAAAAAUCUUUCAAUUGAACACUUAUUUAUUUUGUUGAUCUUUGUGGUCAGGUAAAUACUGAGGUUAUUGCUGGAGAAGGAAUGAUUGUAACAGCAGGAGCCAUAGAUUGUCAUGUGCAUUUUAUAUGUCCUCAAUUAGCACAAGAAGCAAUAUCAAGUGGUGAGAUUUCUUGGUUAAUGGUGGAAUUUUGUCUAGAACACAGGAUAAUGCGCUCAUGCUAGUUAAUUUGUUGUCAGUCAAAUCACUUAUGGCCCCUUUUGGAUAUUCAAAUUAUUAUUAUCUACAUUAAAGCUUCCAUAAAUUGUCAUGCCUAACAUUUUAUGGAAAAGACACUACUUCACUGUAGAGAAAUUCAACUUUUCUGCUCUAUACUUGAGAAAAAAUUAGUGAACAUUGUUCUCUUUUUGUUUCUUUCCUGUUAUGUAUCAAAACAAGUGUAGGCGUUACUACAUUGGUGGGAGGUGGCACUGGACCUGCAGAUGGAACACGUGCAACUACUUGUACUCCUGCACCACAGCACAUGAAACUAAUGUUGCAAUCAACAGAUGAAAUGCCCCUUAAUUUCGGUUUCACAGGAAAAGUAUGCCUCUUUCUGUGCGAACUUGCAUUCUCCCUUCUACUUGGAGCAUUUGACAAAUUUUACUUGCCUUGAAUUUUCAUGUAAAGCAUAAAAACUCAAUAAAUGUGCUACAGAUGAAAUGCUCGUCAAUUUCGCUUUCACAGGAAAAGUUUGCCUCAUUCUCUGUGGACUUACUUUUACCCUUCUACUUCUUGGAGCAUUUACCAAGUUUACUAACUGCACACGCUAUUGAUGAUAUUUCUUGAUAUCGGCCUCAAUUUUUUGCUGCCCCAUACAAAAACUUAAAAAAGUGCAGAUGAUGUGUCAUAUGGUGCAGUGCCAUAUCGGGGGGGGGGGGGGGGGGGGGGGGGUUGGGAUGUGUACUGUGUUCUAGUAACACUUAUUAUUUUUUUAUUUUUUUUAUUAUUAUUUGUUUUUUUUAAUUGUAGGGGAAUACUGCCAAAGCAGAAGGCCUGCAUGAAAUAAUCAAGGCUGGAGCAAUGGGGCUGAAGCUUCAUGAAGACUGGGGAACUACUCCAGCUGCAAUAGAUAAUUGUUUGACUGUUGCAGAAGAAUAUGACAUUCAGGUAUUUACCUUUUCUCUGUUCCAACAAAUUAAGUAUCUUAAUGCGCUUUAAUAUGUUAUUCACUGAUUACAAGUUGCAUUAUAUUUAUUUUAGGUUAAUAUCCAUACAGAUACCUUGAAUGAAUCUGGAUUUGUGGAGCAUACAAUUGCUUCAUUUAAAGAUAGAACGAUUCAUACUUAUCACAGGUAUAACCUUUGCUAUCUGGUUUCUGGGUCCCCAGUUAUGUUCAAUGGGAAGAACAUCACGUCAAAUAUGCUUGCAUGCACUCAUUUAAAUUUUUGCAGUGAAGGUGCAGGUGGUGGUCAUGCUCCAGAUAUUAUUAAAGUUUGCGGUGUAAAGAAUGUCCUCCCAUCUUCAACUAAUCCAACGAGACCUUACACUAUAAAUACUGUAGAUGAGCACCUUGACAUGCUUGUAAGAGAGGAUGAUAUAUUAUUAAUGUAUUAUCCUAUGUACAGUACGUAAAAAGCGAAUGAGAAGAUAAGAAAUCUGUUUUGACAAUAUUUAAAAUGCAUGCAGAUGGUCUGCCAUCACCUUGACAGGGACAUUAAGGAGGAUGUAGCUUUUGCUGAGUCACGGAUUCGAGCUGAAACAAUAGCAGCAGAAGACAUUUUGCAUGAUAUGGGGGCAAUAAGUAUCAUAGCUUCAGAUUCACAGGCUAUGGGACGCAUUGCUGAGGUUCUUUCUACUCACAUUUCUCUACCAUCUUAUGAAGUUAGAUGUAUGCUUCUCACUCGAUGCUUACUCUUGUCAAACCUUUUUUUACAUGUAUUGUGCUAAGUUGGAAAGUAAUACUGACUGUCCAAUUUAUGCAAGUGGGCUUGGCUAAUUGGACAUAUGGAUAGAUGAUUCAUCAUUUAUUUAAUUAUGCUAGAUUUGUUUUAUUUAGGCUUUAGUCAUGUUCCGAUAUUAUUAAAAGUUAGGGCUUUGUUUUGCAAUUUUAUUUAACUUUGUGUUUAGGGUGGUACGGUUUUCUUUAAAAGCCAAGGUUAUGGUCAUUGUUACUCAGCCUUUGAUUAAUAGAAUAAAAUUUAUAUUGAGAGUUCUCUCAAUUUUCGUCAGUUAUUUGGUAAUGUUCAGAAUCAACCAAUUAGUGAUAUUGGUGCGCGAAUCAAGAAGUCUUGAUUGUCAAUUCCCGGCAUUCUUAGGAAUUAAUGGGGGUUUAUAGUGUUCAUUUGAUACUUGCUUCCGCCUACAUCAGCAAUUCUCUUGACAGGUGAUUACAAGAACUUGGCAGACUGCCCAUAAGAUGAAGUUAUUCAGAGGAACCCUUGGAAGUAUUGCAUCAGAAAAUGACAAUUUUCGGAUCAAGAGAUACAUUGCAAAGUACACAAUUAAUCCUGCAAUAGCUAAUGGGUUUUCUCAGUAUGUUGGAUCAGUUGAGGUACAAUGACCAUACUUUGAUUUUGUUAUCACUGAUUUUUUUUAUCAUGUUCGGAACUACAGAUAAAUUAUCCUAGCCUCCUAGGUAACGUAUCUGAAGUUUCUUAAAAAUAUCUUCUGAACUUGUCUUUGUGAAAGUCGAUAUUUUUACGUAUUCACAUGCAAAUUAACUACAACUGAAAGUUGUAGAUAUGACUUUGCUUUAGGUGGGCAAGUUGGCUGAUCUUGUUAUGUGGAAACCGUCAUUUUUUGGGGCUAAACCAGAAAUGGUGAUCAAGGGUGGAAUAAUAGCAUGGUCUAAUAUGGGCGAUCCAAAUGCUAGCAUCCCGACUCCUGAGCCGGUAAUGUUGAUAUUGUUUACAAUGUUCUCAGGAGAUUUAUAAGCAGUCUCAUAUCCUUUUUAUUCUAUAGUUUGGCCGAUUAUAGAAUCAUCAUUGCCAAUGAACUCUAAAAUUAAAUUUUUUCUGUGUUAGAAAUCAUUGGGAGUUUUAAAGUUGAGGCUGGAGGUGCUUUCUGUUGAUGGUUAAAAUUUUGAACUUGUUUUUCUUGAAGUUAUAAUCUUGAAUAUCUCAUAAGAAUGUUGAUUUAUGACCACAAAAAUGCGGUGAAGAACUUAGAAAAUUGGAAACUUGCUUGUUCAAAUGGGUUCCAGUCGUCCCAUUAGAUUUGAAGACAGUUUUAAAAUAAAGUAAUACUAUUCAUCGUUAGUAAAGGAAUCACCAGUCUAGGUGGCAAGAGGCCCUUGAUUCAUUGUCCAAUAGAGUGAUGAUAAGAAACCGACCAGAAAAACAAGAUUAACUGCUGUAUUGAGAAGCAUUUCUAUUGAAUAAUUCGGGAAUUACAAGAAAUUAAAGACGAGUAAGCCUAUAGAAGGCUGUAAACAAGAAUUAGACCCACAGACUACUCAAUUUCUGCCUAUCAUACUCCUUCCUCACUAUUCUUAUUUAUAGGCUUUAACUAACAGAAAGUUGUCAAUCCAUAUUCCCCCAACAGAAAUUAGUUUACCCCCUUCCCGCCUCCACUUGCGAGACCCGCUUCUUUGCCCUUCUAGAAUAUGUGUAGUGAAUUGGUGGCUUAACAUUACCCCUGCCUUUCAAAGACACCUUGUCCUCAAGGUGGAAGUCGGGGAAGUGUUGCAAGAUUGAUUCAGCUGAUUCCCAAGAGGCUUUAGAUUGGGGCAGACCCCUCCACUGCACAAGCACUUCCAUGCCAGCCGGUCUGUGACGGGUUUCUAAAACCUUUUCAGAUUCCACGACCCAUUCCAAAUUACGUGCAAGAUGUGGGGGAAACUCCUGGCUUGCACCUUGUGCCCCAAGCGCCUUUUUAAGUUGCGAGACAUGGAACACAGGAUGUAUAGCCGCGGAAGGUGGCAACUUCACACGAUACGCCAUAGGCCCUAUCCGCUCUUCAAUCUCAAAAGGACUGAAGUAUUUAGGGCCCAGCUUUUCAUUGGGUUUUCUUGCAAGGGAGCGGAGGCGAUAGGGCCGGAGUUUGAUUUACACCAAGUCUCCAAUACUCAAUUGGACAUCUCGCCUAUGACGGUCUGCUGACUCCUCCAUCUUUUCCUGGGCAUGAUACAGAUGAGAUUUCUGCUCCUCCAACAUAUGAUCUUUGGUUUGUAAUUACUGUUCUACUGAUUGAAUUGUAGUGGUCUAGCUGCCGUAACGGAUGAGUGGGGGAGGGUCCCUUCCAUAGACUGCUUUGAAAGGUUUAGUAUUUGUAGAGGAGUGGAAGGUGGUGUUAUACCAAUACUCUGCCUAGGGAAUCCAAUUGUUCUAGCUCUUUGGUUUGUCAUAGGUAAAGCAUCAAAGAUACAUUUCCACACACCGAUUAACCACUUCAGUCUGCCGAUUUGAUUACGGAUGGUAAGAUGUGCUUCGACAGCAGAUAGUCCCCUGGAGGCGAAAAAGUUUUGACCAGAAGUGACUAAGAAAUACUUUGUCACGAUCUGAGACAAUGGAUCUUGGAAUACCGUGGAGUCUGACAAUUUCCUUAAUGAAGACUGCAGCUACUUCCUCCGCAGUGAAGGGAUGUUUCAGUGGCAAGAAAUGGGCAUACUUAUUGAGGCGAUCAACCACCACCAGUAGGGAAUUGUAAUUUCCAGAUUUUGGUAGGCCCUCUAUGAAGUCCAUUGAAACAUCUUCCCAUAUAAGAGUGGCAAUAGGUAGGGGCUGCAAGAGGCUUGCCGGGGAAAGUGCAGGACUCUUACUUUGUUGGCAAACCGGACAUUCUUCCACCAACUUCUUAAUGUCCUGUUUCAUCCCCACCCAAUAUAGCUCACUGGUAAGUCGCUUAUAAGUGCGGAAGAAACCUGAAUGCCCCUUGGCCAGACUAUUGUGGAAUUCUCUCAAGAAAAUCGGAAUUAGUGGGGAGGAUUGGGCAAGUGCUAGACGUCCUUUAUACAGUAACUUCCCGUGCUCCAAUGAGAAAUGUGGAUACACAUCUAGGUCUUCCUGCAACCCGUUUUUUAUUUUAGAGAGGUAUAGAUCCCUGUCUACUUGUGCAUCGAGCAAUUGACUCUCCAUAACACCUUAGCGGGUUAAUGUGGCUAACUCAACCAAGGGAUUUAGACGUGACAAUGCAUCCGCCGCCUUGUUCUCCAUUCCAGGACGAUAGUGGAUCUCCAAAUCAUAUCCCAUCAAUUUUGUCACCCAUUGCUUGAAAUCGUCAGGUAUUACACGCUGUUAUAACAAGUACUUUAGACUUCGUUGAUCAGUACGCACAACAAAUUUUCUCCCCAGCACAUAAUGCCUCCAUUUUUGGACGGCUAGGACAAUGGCCAUUAAUUCCCUCUCAUAGAUGGAUUUAUGUAGAGAGUUUCUGGACAAUACCUGACUGUAACAGGCAAUAGGGCACUGUUCCUGCAUAAGAACCGCCCCUAACCCGUGGCCCGAGGCGUCUGUCUCAAUAAUGAAGGGCUUUGAGAAAUCUGGAAGAGCCAAUACGGGUACUGUCGUCAUAGCCAACUUCAGUUUUUGAAAGGCAGCUUCUGCAUCAUUGUUCCACUUGAAAGCAUCCUUCUGUAAUUGUUGCGUAAGAGGCCAUGAUAUUGCACCAUAGCCAGCUACAAACCUCCUGUAGUAGCUAGUCAAUCCCAGAAACCUGCGAAGCUCUCGAAUGUCACGAGGGGUUGGCCAUUGUACCAUUGCUGCUAUCUUACUAGGAUCUGCUGCUAUUCCUUCAGCUGAGACUAAGUGCCCCAAAUAUUCUAUCUGAUGCUGCCCAAAGUGACACUUUUUUCCAUUAGCGUAGAGAUGAUUUGCUGCUAAGAUUGUUAAUACCUCCUGGAGGUGUUGCUCAUGGGCUUCCAAACUCUUGCUAUAGAUCAAAAUGUCAUCGAAGAAGACCAACACAAAUUUCCUCAGCCGUCUCCGGAAGACCUGAUUCAUCAGAGAUUAGAAUGUGGCUGGUGCAUUAGAGAGGCCAAAGGGCAUGACCAGGAACUCGUAGUGCCCCUCGUGAGUUCGGAACGCCGUUUUAUGAACAUCCUCCUUUUUUACUCUAAUCUGGUGGUACCCCGACCUGAAAUCCAGUUUGGAGAAAAUCGUAGCACCAUGUAGCUCGUCCAACAGUUCAUCAGUGAUCGGGAUGAGAAACUUAUCUGGAAUGGUUGCUUUGUUCAGGGCCUGUAAUCCACACAGAACUGCCAACUCCCAUCUUUCUUCUUCACCAUUAAAACAGGACUGGAGAACGAGCUGACACUAGGCUGUAUAAUUCCAGCAGUUAGCAUCUCCUAGACCAACCGUUCAAUCUCGUUCUUCUGAAUAUGGGGAUAUCUAUAAGGAUUCACGUUAAUUGGUUCAAUUCCCCCCUUUAAGGGAAUGGCGUGAUCAAUAUCACGGCUUGGGGGUAGCCCUGGUGGUGUAAUAAACACCUGUUGAUGUUGCUGCAAUAUCCCCUGUAUCCCUGCAGGUGGUAGUCCCCCUCCCUUGCUGAUUUCGAUUCCACCCGAGGGGUCCUUCCAUUCUACCAACACUCUCUGCCCUUCCUGCUGUAAGGUUUUCAUCAUUAACUUUAAGGAUACCCCUGAUUUUUUAAGGCUGGGGUUCCCUUUUAAUAUCCUCACCGAAUUCCCCAACUGGAACCUCAUCGACGAGCGCUUCCAGUUGACCUCCAUGUCACGUAAACUUCCUAACCAUUGCAUCCCCAACACCACAUCCGUACUUCCUAACUCCAGCGGCAAGAAAUCCUCCACUAUAGUUAGCCCUUGCAAUUCCAGAACUACUCCCCUACAUAUCCCCUUCCCUUGCACGGAUUUACCCGACCCCAUCACCACUCCAUAAUUAGUCGUGGCUGUCGUCGGAAGAUUCAAUUUUUGAACCAGCUCAAGGGAUAUAAAGUUGUGGGUUGCACCACAAUCAAUUAAUACCGUCACUCCACACCCUCCUAUAACCCCUUUUAGCUUCAUCCCCUUCUUCCUCGCAACCUCCCUUUCCUUCGACCAGCAGAACCUGCAACUCGCGGUUUCGACAUUGAUGGCCGGCCACAUACUUCUCGUCACUCUUAAAACGCAGCUCCUUGUCACGCUUGAGCUGCCAUUUAGCUUCGGAUAACCUCUUAAAUGGCCUGGUUGUGGUCGGUCUCUCUCCGACUGUGAUGGUCUUCGUUGGAAAUCCCUCAAAUCGCCUCGCAUCUGCCCGACUUGAAGGGGAAGUGGGCUUAAAUGACUUAUGGUUCAUGGGCUCCUGGAGUUUUUUCAGAAUCAGAUUUCUAUCUUCAAUUUUCUAGGCCACCUCCAUAAUUGGGCCCCGCCCCUUUGGACCCAGUAGCCUCACUUCAGCCGGAUCCCUGUCUACUUGUGCAUCGAGCAAUUGACUCUCCAUAACACCUUAGCGGGUUAAUGUGGCUAAGUCAACCGAGGGAUUUAGACGUGACAAUGCAUCCGCCGCCUUGUUCUCCAUUCCAGGACGAUAGUGGAUCUCCAAAUCAUAUCCCAUCAAUUUUGUCACCCAUUGCUUGAAAUCGUCAGGUAUUACACGCUGUUAUAACAAGUACUUUAGACUUCGUUGAUCAGUACGCACAACAAAUUUUCUCCCCAGCACAUAAUGCCUCCAUUUUUGGACGGCUAGGACAAUGGCCAUUAAUUCCCUCUCAUAGAUGGAUUUAUGUAGAGAGUUUCUGGACAAUACCUGACUGUAACAGGCAAUAGGGCACUGUUCCUGCAUAAGAACCGCCCCUAACCCGUGGCCCGAGGCGUCUGUCUCAAUAAUGAAGGGCUUUGAGAAAUCUGGAAGAGCCAAUACGGGUACUGUCGUCAUAGCCAACUUCAGUUUUUGAAAGGCAGCUUCUGCAUCAUUGUUCCACUUGAAAGCAUCCUUCUGUAAUUGUUGCGUAAGAGGCCAUGAUAUUGCACCAUAGCCAGCUACAAACCUCCUGUAGUAGCUAGUCAAUCCCAGAAACCUGCGAAGCUCUCGAAUGUCACGAGGGGUUGGCCAUUGUACCAUUGCUGCUAUCUUACUAGGAUCUGCUGCUAUUCCUUCAGCUGAGACUAAGUGCCCCAAAUAUUCUAUCUGAUGCUGCCCAAAGUGACACUUUUUUCCAUUAGCGUAGAGAUGAUUUGCUGCUAAGAUUGUUAAUACCUCCUGGAGGUGUUGCUCAUGGGCUUCCAAACUCUUGCUAUAGAUCAAAAUGUCAUCGAAGAAGACCAACACAAAUUUCCUCAGCCGUCUCCGGAAGACCUGAUUCAUCAGAGAUUGGAAUGUGGCUGGUGCAUUAGAGAGGCCAAAGGGCAUGACCAGGAACUCGUAGUGCCCCUCGUGAGUUCGGAACGCCGUUUUAUGAACAUCCUCCUUUUUUACUCUAAUCUGGUGGUACCCCGACCUGAAAUCCAGUUUGGAGAAAAUCGUAGCACCAUGUAGCUCGUCCAACAGUUCAUCAGUGAUCGGGAUGAGAAACUUAUCUGGAAUGGUUGCUUUGUUCAGGGCCUGUAAUCCACACAGAACUGCCAACUCCCAUCUUUCUUCUUCACCAUUAAAACAGGACUGGAGAACGAGCUGACACUAGGCUGUAUAAUUCCAGCAGUUAGCAUCUCCUAGACCAACCGUUCAAUCUCGUUCUUCUGAAUAUGGGGAUAUCUAUAAGGAUUCACGUUAAUUGGUUCAAUUCCCCCCUUUAAGGGAAUGGCGUGAUCAAUAUCACGGCUUGGGGGUAGCCCUGGUGGUGUAAUAAACACCUGUUGAUGUUGCUGCAAUAUCCCCUGUAUCCCUGCAGGUGGUAGUCCCCCUCCCUUGCUGAUUUCGAUUCCACCCGAGGGGUCCUUCCAUUCUACCAACACUCUCUGCCCUUCCUGCUGUAAGGUUUUCAUCAUUAACUUUAAGGAUACCCCUGAUUUUUUAAGGCUGGGGUUCCCUUUUAAUAUCCUCACCGAAUUCCCCAACUGGAACCUCAUCGACGAGCGCUUCCAGUUGACCUCCAUGUCACGUAAACUUCCUAACCAUUGCAUCCCCAACACCACAUCCGUACUUCCUAACUCCAGCGGCAAGAAAUCCUCCACUAUAGUUAGCCCUUGCAAUUCCAGAACUACUCCCCUACAUAUCCCCUUCCCUUGCACGGAUUUACCCGACCCCAUCACCACUCCAUAAUUAGUCGUGGCUGUCGUCGGAAGAUUCAAUUUUUGAACCAGCUCAAGGGAUAUAAAGUUGUGGGUUGCACCACAAUCAAUUAAUACCGUCACUCCACACCCUCCUAUAACCCCUUUUAGCUUCAUCCCCUUCUUCCUCGCAACCUCCCUUUCCUUCGACCAGCAGAAACUGCAACUCGCGGUUUCGACAUUGAUGGCCGGCCACAUACUUCUCGUCACUCUUAAAACGCAGCUCCUUGUCACGCUUGAGCUGCCAUUUAGCUUCGGAUAACCUCUUAAAUGGCCUGGUUGUGGUCGGUCUCUCUCCGACUGUGAUGGUCUUCGUUGGAAAUCCCUCAAAUCGCCUCGCAUCUGCCCGACUUGAAGGGGAAGUGGGCUUAAAUGACUUAUGGUUCAUGGGCUCCUGGAGUUUUUUCAGAAUCAGAUUUCUAUCUUCAAUUUUCUAGGCCACCUCCAUAAUUGGGCCCCGCCCCUUUGGACCCAGUAGCCUCACUUCAGCCCUUAUAUCAAUUCUCAGCCCAUUAAUAAACAUGCUUUCUAGCACUUCGUCGGAGAUGCACUUCAGGGAAGCGGCAAGCAUCUCAAAUUCUCGCCGGAAUUCCGCUACUGUCCCCCUUUGUUUUAUAGCCAGAAAUUUUUCACAGAGGUUCCCCUCUUGCGUAGGCCGAAAAUGCAGCAGUAACGCCUCCCGGUAUUGCCGCCAUGAUUGGAUGGGUGAUCUCGCUUCUGCCUAUUGAAACCAGGACAGUGCAUCUACAUCCAAGCUGACCGCCACUGCUCCCAACUUCUCUCAUUCCGUAAGCCCGUUUACUUCGAAAUACCUUUCUGCUCGAAACAGCUACCCAUCUGGGUUUUCUCCACUGAAGAUGGGCAUCUCUAAUUUUUGCACCCUCCUCCAGCUUUCCUUAUCCCUGCUCUAGAAGGUGUUCGUUAAGGGCCUCCCAAAGCUAGCUCCUCCUAUUCCUUCCUGCCAUUUCUCUGGUUCGUCUACUUGCCGGUCCUUCUCAACUUCUGAUUGCACUGAUCCUUCGGUCACACUAGCCUUCCUCUCUCUCUUGGAGUUUUGGCUCAGCCCUUCCACUUUAUGUAUUAGAGCUGCCACGUUCUGGGCAAGCUGCUCCACUGUUUUGUACAAGCCACGCAUCCCUUCCGUCGUCUUCUCCAAGCCACGCAUCCCUGCCCUCAUCUCCUCCAUUUCCUUCUCCAUGGUGUCGACUCUACCCUCUGUCUUUUUCUGUGCCAUGGAAAGAACCGGCUCUGAUACCAGUUGAUAAGAAACCGACCAGAAAAACAAGAUUAACUGCUGUAUUGAGAAGCGUUUCUAUUGAAUAAUUCGGGAAUCACAAGAAAUUAAAGACGAGCAAGCCUAUAGAAGGCUGUAAACAAGAAUUAGACCCACAGACUACUUAAUUUCUGCCUAUCGAGCUCCUUCCUCGCUAUUCUUAUUUAUAGGCUUUAACUAACAGAAAGUUGUUACUCCAUAUUCCCCAAACAGAAAUUAGUUUGCCCCUUUCCCGCCUCCACUUGCAAGACCCGCUUCUUUGCCCUUCUAGAAUAUGUGUAGUGAAUUGGUGGCUUAACAAGUUGUAAUGCAUUUUAAUGCAUUGGACAGUGAAUUAAGGCAUCCACUGCCACCUAGAUUGAUUGUAAUCUCUACCAAUAAUGAAUAGCAUUAUUCUUCAAAAUAUUCCUCCACGUUUAAUGAGUAUGAACAAAUUAUAACAGGUGGUGAUGAGGCCCAUGUUUGGUGCAUUUGGCAAGGCUGGGAGUUCUAACUCAAUCGCUUUCGUUAGCAAGGUGCAGACAUUGUGCUCUCUCAUGCGCACAUGCUCAGACACACACAUGCACAGAGACUACUCACUUGGAUAACUUUAGCUUUGUUUUUUUCUCUUGCAUUCUUUUACCCGUUUUCAUUUCGCAGGCAGCUCUGUAUUCUGGGGUGAAAGAACUUUAUGGACUCAACAAGAGAGUGGAAGCUGUAAGCAAUGUGAGGAAACUCUCAAAGCUCGACAUGAAACUCAAUGAUGCCCUUCCCAGCAUCACAGUAGACCCAGAGACCUAUACAGUGAUUGCAGACGGAGAGGUUCUUACCUGUCCAGCAGCUUCUACAGUUCCACUUUCGCGUAAUUACUUCCUUUUCUAGGCCUCAUUGUUCUGAUGCACGCAUCACUCUGAUAUUUUUGGUAAAACAUUUUAAAAUGGUGAAAUAAUAGCAAUGCGACUUCCAAAUGUUGUCGUUUUUGCUGCUUGCACUUGAUUUAUUGAAGUGUAGUAGAAAACAUUUCGUCUCUCUUGUCACAUGUCUACUUGUUCUUCUCUUUGACUAUCCAUCAGUAAUACACGAUUCUCAUUGGAGAAGUAAUCUAGUGCAUCAAUGUAGUGGAAAUGUGAAAUUGAAUAUUUGUCUGUUAAAUGUGAUUCUUAUUAGUGUGUUUAUUUAUCUGACUAGUCUCGACUCCAGUCAAUGAAAAUUCUUGAAAUGUGAGAAUGUAUGUACUGAUUAUUCAUACUAAUUAUAAAGAAGAUGGUUUUAAGGUUUUAGAGGGUGCAAAAGCAACGGAGAGAUCAAUAUGGAAAAAAAUGAGGUAAAUUUGACGAAAACUGGUUUCGUCAACUUUUUCUUUUUCUGAAAAUGUUGAAAUUCAUCAUAAAAACGAAGAGAUAUAAUUACCAUGAUUGUGUUCUUACUUUUUACGUGCAUUCAUGUGUGUAUAAUCCUAUAAAAGGGCCAAGAUCCAAAUGGCAUUUAGCCUUUGUUUGAGUCACAUUCUUUGAAAAAAAUACAUUUUUAAAUAGUGUUUUAAGAUCAUUUCAACUACACAUUUUUAAUAAAAUAAUAUUAAAUGUAAAUUCAAAAUUUUUUCUUAUUUUUUAACCACACAUUUUCUAUUAAUACACUAUUCAAAAAUUCAUUCUUAUGCGAAGAAUGGGGCUCAAACGGGGGCUUAGGUAGGGUUGUCAAUCUCCGGUUGGGCCCAUGAAAGCAUGAGCUUGACUCGUCCAAAAAUGGGCGAGCUCAGCUCGGCCCACGAGCUGUCGAGCCGAGCCCGGCUCGCGAGCAGACGUUGUUUUUUUUUUUUUUUUUUUGAAACAAAUAGGUAAAUUGGAAAAUAAAAAAGUAAUUUUAAUUUUUAAACUAGGUAAAAAAUUUAAACCAUCAUCCUUUAUCCGAGCUUGGGACCGGCUACUUAAAUUUAAAGUAUGCGGAGUUAAAAAUUGUGUUGUUUGUUUAUUUGUUCGUAUACAAUUUUUUAAAGAAAAUUUAAAAUAAUAUUAAAAAUUAUUUUUUCAAGCAACGCUGCACGUCCCCUUGCAUAUAAUCUUCGAAGAAAAUUUCUUCUAAAAAUUGAAAGGGUAAUCGAAUAUCCUUUCAAUUGUCAGAAGUCUUUCACUUCUUCGAUUACCCUUUCAAAUUUUAGAAGGAAUUUACUUCAAAAAUUAUAUGCAAAAGUACGCACAGCGUUAUUCGAGAAAAGAAUUUAAAAUGUAGAUAUAUAUAGUAGUAAUAGUACCAAGUACUAACAAAAAAUUUAACUAAAUUAGUAGAAAUGAAAUUUUUUUUUAUUUUCACUAAAAGAGAGAAAAAAAUAAAAAUGAAAUAUUUUUUUUUAAAUUUUUCUUUUUAAAAUAGAUAAAAUAUAAACACUCCUCCUUUAUCCGGGUUUGGGACCGGCUACUUAAAUUUUCAGUAGGCAGAGUUAAAAAUUGUACACAAACAAUUUUUUGUAGCUUGUACAAUGUUUUAAAGAAAAUUAAAAGUAACGAUAAGAAAAGAAAAUUUUCAUCAAUAUAAUUAAAUCAAGUAUCACUUACUUGACGAUAUGUAAUUUCGGCAUAUUUAUCUUGUAGUAAAAAAUGAGUGUCCUGUUAAUCCUUAAUGCAAAUUAACGCUUCUAAAUAUCUUCUUUCAGUCAGUUCCUGACCACGCUCAAAACUCUUUUACUUGCACUAAAAGCAGACUCCGAAACAACAGUGCUAACCGAAGGUGUCAGCAGAUCUUUUGCAAUCGCAGAUAUAACUGGCCAACGUCGUUCAUACCUUCGCCAGAAUUCAAUUAUUUCGUCUGAACUUUUUUUAAUUAUUUUAUCUGUUGACAUAUUCUGGUUGAAAUAAUCAAUUAAUUCAACAAGCAAUGCAUUAUGGCUUGAGCCCGUAGAUAUUUGAUGAGAAUGAGAUACAGAUGGUGACGACAUGGCAGUGACAAUGGUAGUAGAUGAACACAUUGCAGAUGAAUCAAAUCUAUACGAAUUAAUGCCUUAAAAUAAAUUAAAUAUUUCUGCAUCUUCUUCUUCAAUUUCAGUGAAAAUAGUAGAUGCAGAUGGUACCUGACUAAUAUUAGUACUCAUUCGGUUCGCAUAUAAUUCAUACAUUUUACUUAAUGUUUGCUCUAAAUUUCUAUAUGUGAUAGGUGUAUCAAAUGUUAAGGCGUUUGAAAUUUGAUCAAUUAUAUAUUUAGUUCCCGAUAAAUUAUAUUGGGGGUCCAUCACGCGUGCUAAAGGAAAUAACAUAUGCAAAUCUUCCCAAUAUUUUCUAAAUUUUAAUUCCAUAGUAAUUAUAAUUUCACUAAAAUCAGGGUCAUUUCUGUAUUUAUGAAAUGUUCUUGUAAUUAUAUAAAAACGUUUAAACACCAUACGGCUUGUGGGAUAAUAAACGCCCGAUAAAAUCUUAGUGGUUUCAUAAAAAGAUGUCAAAAAUUUUUUAACCUUCAAAGUUAAAUACCAAUCACGUUCAGUCAACACACCCUCGUCAUUACUUCUAACAUGUUUAUUGUUAUAAAAAUUAGUUAUUAAAUGUUCAAAACUUUCACAUGACUUUAAUAACAAGUAAGUAGAAUUCCACCUAUGACCUACAUUGUUAACAAAUGUUUUAACAUUUUACACUCCUAUUUCGGCACAAUAAUCAUCAAAUAUUUGUUUUCUACUUGGAGAGAUUGUGAUAUAUAUUAGUGCGUUCCUAAUAUUUUGAAAUUCAUCAUUUAUAUAUUUUAAACCAUUUUGGACAAUUAAAUUCAAAAUAUGACAUACACAAAGAAUAUGAAACAAACACCCACCAAAAUCAAGUUGUAGUACCCUAUGCAAUUUUUCGGCAACUACUUUAUUAACACUAGCAUUAUCGAAAGUAAAUGAACGAAUUUUACUUUCGCAAUGAUAUUCCCUAACAAUACUAAUAAUAGCAUUAAAUAUAUAAUUAGCGUUGUGAAGAAACUCAAUAAUUCUAAAAGCAAUAAUUUUUUUAUGCAUGUACCAAAGUGGGUCUAUAUAAUGUGCAAUUGCAGCUAUAUAUGUUCUUUUAUUAAUCCAUUCUCAUAUAUCCGAAGUUAAAGAUAUGACACCCCCAUAUUUUUACAAAUCCAUAAUUAAUUGUUGUUUUGUUGAAGUAAAAUAUUGUAUUGUAUCGGAACGAAGAGUGUUUCGACUUACCCCAGUGUACCUUGACUGCAGAUAUUCUUUCACAUACGAGACGUAGUGUUGGUUGUCAAUUAAUGCUAAAGGCAACUCAGCACCAGCAACAAGCUUUACCAUUCCGAUUUGAGCUUUCUCCUCUGAAUACACCUAUGUGAAUAGGGGUGUAGCAGAAUCACCGGCGUCUGAACUGCCAAAUUGCAAUUGCGUUUGAUAGCCUGGAAUAAGUCCGUGUUUGACUGCACAUACUUUGUAAUGACGGUUGAGAUGGGUGGUACCAAUUCCUCUUUGCCAUGCCAAUCUUUGUUGGUAGUAUUUACAUACUGCUUUGAAUUCUUGGACUCCAUUGACGAUUUUUUCCAUUGAAAUCAACUUAAAAUGAUCCCAACAUUUUGCUUUUUUUUCCCCUUUCGCUUUUUCCUCGCAUCAGAAAUGUUUAAUUCAGCAUCUUCUUCCUGAUCGUGUUCCGCUUCGGGAACGUGAAUAUCAUUCAAAUUAAUUGAAUAAUUUGGAUUGCUGCUUACAUGAUGAUGAAGAUCCAAAUCUGGAAUAUCUUCAGGUAAGAGUACGUCAUUUAGACCUUCAAAUUGAUUCUGAAAUUGACUUUGCGGUGUCAUAGACGAUUCGUUUCCUCCCACACCGAACAAGUUUUGACAAAUGUGCGUGGAUCCAUUUGUUUAAUUGUAAUAAGUAAUAACUAGUAGAAGAAUAAUUGUAUAAAUGUAGUGAGAAAUGAAAAUUGGAUGAAAUUUCAAUAAAUAUAGUGAGAACUGAAAAAUGAGAAUUGAAUAUUGUAUGAAUUGUAUAUAAAAAUUGCACAACUAUCAACACAAUACAAGAGAGUUGAGAGAAAGAUAAUUGAGAGUUGAGAGUGAAUUAUAGAAAAUUUUGUGACUAAAUGUCACUAUUUAUAGAAGAAGAAAAGAAAAAAAUUUAAAGACCAAAACGGUCACUGAAAAAAUUUAGUGACCGUUAACGGUAAUAAAAAAAAAUAAUUAAUUAAUUCAGGGAUUGAAACAGUCACUGACAAAAGUCAGUGACCGUUACAUAAAGUGACCAAAACGGUCACUUUUUAAAAAAAGUGACUGUUUCGGUCACUUUCAAAAACGAGCCCACGGGGCUCACGGGCUCGUCAUGAGCGACUCGUUUUUUGUGCGAGCCGAGCCCAAACCGGCCCGUUAUGCUAGCGCUCGAGCUUGUGUUUUUACGAGUCCGAGCCGCCCACGAGCUCCGUUUUCACGAGCAGAGCGGGCGAGCUACUCGGCCUAUUUGCCACCCCUAGGCUUAGGUAUUAGGAUAGGAGAAUUGGCACAGCUGGUCCCAAACCUGUGCGCAUCUUGUAUUUUUGGUCUGAAACUUAAAAUCUUGGCUCUGGUUUAAAACCUUCAUGUUCUUGAAAAUUGGUCCUUCAGGAUGGAUUUUGUCCAAAAUGAUUGUCAAAUUUGCUCGUGGACUACAUUUUCUUUUAAGGAUAAAUUGCAUAUAGUCCAUAUGACCUAUGGCAAAAAACUGACCCAUGCUUAGACAAACUGUUGAGAAAAUGUGCGUAAUACUGAAAUAAAACUUAUAUUAAAAAAUUCUCACAAUAUGAAGAAACUAGGGUAACUUACGAGAGAAAAUGUGGUGAUGUCAAAGUAGGUAGAGCUGUCUUCCGAAUUAGUUGGAUCAUAUGUGCAAUGUUUUUUUGAUAGACGAGAUCUCUAGUUCAAAAUCAAGGAUGAUCUAGUUGUGCCAAAGAAAAGAAAACUCAUGUGGGUCUUUUUGAACUGUUUGUUUUAAAAAUCUAAGUUGUUAAAAUUAUGUUAUAUGUAUUUUUAAUUUUUAAAUGUCCCCUCAUAUAAUAGCGAGAUUUAUUUUUUUCAAUCACACAAUUUGACACGUGCAUAAUUCACUUAAAUGGGUGACGAUGAGAUAUCAAUCUAGAUGUGCUCUAUAUCAUGUCGAACCUAUAAGAGAUUUAAGCAUACAAUUAUUAUUAUUAUUAUUAUUAUUAUUAUUAUAUGCUCAUAUAUAAAGAUUACACCACCACUCAAUUUGUAAUAGUUGGACAAUUUAUGAUUGUACACAUAAAACCUAGCCCUGUUUGAAUAGUGAGUUUUGGGAGAACGAGCCACAGUUGAAUGUGCAAUGCAUGCUAUUUUGAAAUACUUUCUAAAUGCUGUAAAAAUAAUAUUUGAUAUCAAUUUGUUAGGAGAAUUUGAUGAAUUUCAAACGAAUUAAAGAAAUGAAAUUUAUAGUAGAAAGUUAAGAGAAAAAAUUGAAUUCUCAAAUUCAAAUCAUAGAUUCAAAAUUUUUAUGAUGCUGAAAUACUACAAUUGAGCAACAAUUUUAUACUACAUUUGGUACAUAAUAAUUAAUUACUAAUAUACGAAUUUAAACACCCAUCAAAAUUCUUAAAUACAUGAAUAGAAAUAAAUUCAUUUAUAAUAAGUCAAAAUUAAUAUGAAUAUUAAUUAAUUGAAAAUUAAUAAUACGAAAUCCAUACAUGAGAAAAAUUUUGUAUUAUAUAUUCCAAGUUAAAAAAGAAAAAGUUAAGUAUUAUUGAAAUAAUUGAAUGGUAGUAGGUUAAAAUCGUUCAAAACAAUGAUUCCUGCUUGAUGGUAUAUUAUAUUAUGGUUGUAUAAUUAAAAAGUUGAAAAAAAAUUAGGUUUACAUGCAAAAUAUUUUAUUUUGUGAAUAUGUGAUUGAAAAUAAGUAUGUAGAAAAAAUGGUUUUCAAAAGAAGAUUGUCAAACAUGGUCGAAGCUAAAAUAAUUGGUAUGUCAAGGUCAUGAUUUUCAUAAACCCCAAGUGAAAUUUCCCCCACCUUUUAUUCAUAAAAAAUAGAGUCAUGCCAUAAUGUUAUAAUUCUUGAUAUAAUGUUAUAUUGUUGUAAAAUGGAAAGUUCAUUAGAGUUUAUUGGUGAAUGACAAUUACAUUCCUACAGCUCUAGAAAUAAUUACCGUUGUAUCCCUAAUUCUGCCCUAUAGAUAUAAGGCUUUGGUUCUUAAUAAAACAUACACAAAUCUAUUGACUUUUCUCUAUUCUCUUCUCUUUUCUUCACUUUUAUAACACGUUAUCAGUACGAUAGCUUAAUUUUUCAAAGUUUAGUGAAUGUAAUAAUUUUUAUAAGCAUGAAUAUUUAUCACGUGUACCAAAAUUAAUUUGGUAACAUGUGAAAUAUUUCAAUAUACAUAUGCAUCAUAAUGAGAUUGCUUCUUUUUCUCUACUUUUCAUCGACAUGCAUAUUAAUUCUAAUUCACGUGUGUAUGUGUAAUCUGAACACAUAUUAGUUCACUUUUUUUAUUUAUUUAUACACGAUCAUUUUUUCCACAUAUUAUUCAGUAUUGAUUCUAUCUUUUGAAUCUAUUAUAUAUUAGUUCUAUCUUUAAUUUCUAUAUAUGUGAAAUUCACAUACAUGUUUAUUAUCUUUUGCAUGUUGGUAAAAGAUUUCGCAAAUAAGUGAUUUAGCCAAUUUUGUUAACUUCUAUGUAUGGAAAUUCUUUUUCCUAAUACAUAUUUGGUAAUCAAUUUUAAAAUAUAAAUUUAUAUAUCAUAUAUUUGGUAAUUAAUUUUUACAUCAUAUCCUGUUUGUAUGGUAAUUAAAUAUUCAUUUCACGUGCAUGCUUGGAAGAUUUCUUUUCUUUACUUGUACAUUUUUUUGUGAUUAAUUCUUGUAUGUAAAUUCAUAUCAUGUGUAUAUGGUAAUUAAAUAUUAUUCUAUGAACUUCAAAUUAAGAAUUUAUCAUCUUAUUGUUCCAAAAAUAGCACAACAUAGACAUAUUGGUCAUGAAGAAUAUUUUGUUAUUCCUGAAAAAUCCAAAAUUCAUGGUUAUUAAAUUUCAUAUGAUGGUAAUAAUAUUACUCUAUCUUAAAGAACGGAUUUUAUAAAAUUCAAUUUAUUUCCUGAUUUGAGAAAUUUCUUAGAUUGAUAUCAUAGAUGAGUAUCUUGUUGUUGCUCCUGAAGUAGCACAACAUUACAUGAACACUAUUUUUAAUAUCCUAAAAAAAUAUUUCAUUGUUACUCAUGUAGAGCACAAAUUUUAUUAUUUAGCUUGAAAGAUAGAACAAAUCGUUAAUGUCAGUAUUCUAGAAGAAUAUUGUAUAUAUACUCUUAAAGAUUAUAUGUCUGUUGUGUGCCUGAUGAAAGCACAACUUAAAAAAAAAUUGUGUUCGUGUUCUUGAGAAAACACAAUAUUAUUAAUAUUUUAAAAGAAUAGAUAUUAUAAUUUCAAUAUUCUUGAAGAAUAUUGAUAGAUUCUAUUUAAAUCACGAAAUAAAUUUCUCUAUUUAUUUACAUGUUCAUUCUUUUGCAUAUGUAUUUAAAUAUUGAUGUUUUAGUUAAAUUUUAUUGCUUUUGAAGAGCAUAAUGGUAUAAGAUCUAACAUAAAAUUAUGUUUUUAUUUUUGAAGAGUAAAUUCUUACAUAAUUAUUACUGUAAACAAUAAUAUGUUAUUGCUCCUGAAGAGCAUGACAUUAAAAUUUUUCAUAUUCCAGAAGAAUAUUAUGUUUAUUGCUCUUGAAGAGCAAAUCUUCAUAUAGAUAAGUAUUUUAUAAUGAUAAUAUACUCUUAUAGAAUUGAUAUUUUUAAAUAAGAGUUUGUUGGUGCUCCUAAAGUAGCACGACAUUAUUAAUAUUCUAAAAGAAUAUUAAUUGCUCAAGAAGAGCAUGAUAUUACAAUUUCAAUAUUUCAAAAGAACAUUUACUCAAUGCUUCUGAAGAAAUAUAACUUAAAUUAUAUUUAUUUUAAAUGAAUUAGUGUUGAUAUUCUCGAAAAAACACAAUCCACGUUAUAAAAAUAUUCCAAAAGAAUAUUAAUUACUCCAAAAAAGCAUGAUAUUACUAAUAGACGUAUUCAUCUAAAUUAUGUGUCUGACCAUUCCCAAGAUAUGUCACCACCAUGUGUGCAAAUCUCCUUCGUGGUUGAUGAUUAAUAUCCAAAGUUGUAGCAACCCAAAUUUAUCAUCAAUUUCUUCUUGUACCGGAGGUUCUGAGGCAAUACUAUCUAUGUAAGUUUGCAGUUCGUCUUCAUAUUCGAUAGAAGGUAAUAUUAAUUUUACGCGUAUAUGUACGCAUAAUUAUGUCACAGUAUUUAGUUAAAUUUUGGUGACAAAUUUUAAGUUUAUAUUAAACAAUGUGGACACUUAAUUAUUGCGGUUUGUGAUUGUAUAAGUACCAUUUAUUAAAUUAGGUUCAUCACUAAAUGUUCAUUACUAUUGUUUAUCGUUUGAUUAAUUAUCUCGUUCUUACUCUUAUAAUACAUGAUUUUAAUACUCGUAUAUUUGUCUACUAUAAAAUAUUUUUGCUCUUGAAUCAGCGCAUUAUUAUUAAUGUUCUAGUUAUAUUUUACUUGCUCCCGAAGAUCAUAAUUUAAAAAUUAUGUUUUUACUUCUAAAGAGUAAAUUCUUGUAUAACUUUCAAUAUUCCAAAGGAAUAUUGAUAUAUUGUUUUUAAAGAAGUAAAAAUAAAACACGACAUAUCCUUGAGGUAGCACACAUUUUGAAGAAUUAUACCUCAUUGUGUUCUUGAAAAAACACAAGUAAUUCAAUACUAGCUGUAAUUUUUAAAAGGAAAAUAAUUUCCUUAUUUUACUAAUAUUCGAGAAGAAUAUUAAUUUAUCGCUCUAGAAGAGCAUACUAUUUGGUGUUUUAAUAUUCUCAAAACAUGAUAUGCUAUUGGAGAGCACGUCGUUAUAAUUUCAAUAUUUUUAAGAAAAAUAUUGAUAUAUAGUUCCAAAAGAAGGGAAAAUAAUAUUCUUGAAGAAUACAGUAUUGUGGUCCUAAAGAAACACAAAUUUAUGCAUAUUAAUAUUUUAGAAAAAUGUCAUGAUUAAUUUAAACGUGUCAAUAUUCCUGAAAAAUAUUAUUCUAUCACUUGUAAAUAAUCAUAACUAGGUAUAUAUCAAUAUUUCAGAAAAAUAUUUAUAUUGCUCUUAAAGAAGCAAUAAUUAAUUUUAAUGUACUCUCGAAGUAGUACAUUUUUGAAGAAUAUAUCAUUUUGAAUUUGUGUAUAUCCCUGGAGGAAAACAUACGACUUAUGUCACGUGGACAUUGAUCAUUAUAUGAUUAUAUAAUAUUUAAUCAUAUUCUUUGAAAUUAAAUAAUUGGAUUAUAUCUUAUAUUGAACCAGAAAUUCAAUUUGAUUGGCAUGACCAGUUGGACCAUCACUGGAUAAACAAUGAUGCGAAAUUAAAAUGAAGAACUAGAAGAUUUUUAAAUCCAAUAAAUUUCUAUGUAUCAUUUGUUCUCAUUAUCGACAAUUGAUCAUUAAAGGCUACUAGCUAAAAUUGGGAUUAAAUUUCCUAUAUAUCUGAAAAUAAAUUAGGGUGAUAUAUGGGGCCCUGUCACCCACCGCUUGUUUGUUAAACGCCUUCAAUUAAUUUAAUUGAGAAAAAUAUAUUUCACAUUUUCGUUUAGGGAAUGUUAUUACGUAUCUUGUCAAUAUCAUAGUUCUCCCUAUUAAAAUUGGCUUAUGGUUAGCGCCUAAAUUUUCCAUCUAAUUAUUUUAAUAGUGCAGUAUGUAUAAAAUUGAUCCACUACAAUGCACUGAGAUGGAAAGUAAUAAAUACUAAGAAUAAAUGCAUAGUAUGAACCUUUAUUAUAAAUUGUGAUAUUUUAUAAUGCAGUAAAAACAUUUGUCAAUUUAAUUUGACAAUUAUCUCAGCAUUAAGGGGAGGAAUUAAAAAGUUGAAAAUAAUGUAUAAAUACAUUAUUAUCUAAAUCCUCGCAAAAGAUCACUAGAACCAGAAGUUCGAAAUAUAAUUUAUUUAGAUGCAUUUACUGAUCAAAUGGAUCAAUAAUAUCUUACACACCAGCUUCAAAUGCUCCAACUUGAAUUAACGUCACAGAGGACAAUUAGUUAAUAUGAUAUUUGAUGGUACGCCUGAAGCGUGAUGAUAUUCGAUUCUAAUAAAAAAAAAUCUCCAAAUGGAGUAAUUGGCAAAGAUUAUCUCAUUAAGGAGGCAUACACUCUUAUGAGCAUUUAGACAUAACAGAUUAUAAAACCCCAGAAGAGGUUCAGGUACCUGAUAUAUUGAAAAUUGAGAUAUCUCAAUAAGUUAUGUCAUCGUAGAGAUAGAAAUAGAAUCGAACAAUAGAAGAAAAGGUUGCCGGCAAACAUUUUUACAUAUGGUGUACUACAUCAUAUUAUGAAUAGCGAGAAAUCGAAAUAAAUUCGUUGAAAUAUAUCCGUCGAAAUAGUGAUUAGCCAAAUAAAAUGGACGUGAUCCUAGUCAAAUUAAACUUAUUAGAGAAACUUGAAGUUUCUGGAUCUAUAGUUCGAACACCAAAAGGUGUAUAUUUAUGAAAGUAGAAAAGUAAAGUCGUAAUAUGAAAUAUACGACUCUUUACAUAAUGAAUUUAGCGAAAACUUAUAUAAAUAGAUAAAUUAUCAUGUGGUGGAUAUAAUUACAAGUUUCAGUUUUAUUAGCCUAACAAUGCAUAGAAUUUGAUACAAAUUUGAUUAUAGCCAACACAUCUGGCGUGGCUAUCAAUGUUAUCUUGAAAGAUUUAAUAUGCCUAAAUUAUAAUUCAAGUGAUAUUAGUACGAGGGGGAGUAAAUACGCGUUGCACUCUUUUUCCCUUGAUCAAGGUUUUGUCCCAUUGAAUUUUCUUGACAAGGUUUUUAAUGAGGCAACUUUUGUAGCGUAUUUAAAAAAAAUAAUGUACUAUUUUUCCUUCAUUAGGAUUUUUUCCCUCGGGAUUUUUCCUAAUAAGGUUUUAAUGAGGCAUAUUCUUCGUAUAAUUAAUGUCUAUAACAUGCAAGACAUUUAUCCUCAAGAUAAUACAUUAUAUGUAAGAGACUCUUGAAGAGAUCAACAAUAGCUAUUUUUCGAAUCAUCAUAUUAAUACAGUUAUCAAAGAAUGAUAAAGUAUCUCUUACGAAAACGUUGUUAUUUGAAGAUUGUACAAGACAACAUGAUGCAUUUCACCGACGUUGCAAUAUUGAAGACAGUGACGUCCAAGGCAAUGAUGAAUUAAUACAAGAAUUGAAAUCAGAGGGAGUAGCUGUACUUUUUUUCCUUCGAUCAAGUUUUGUCACAUUGGGUUUUCUUGACAAGGUUUUAACGAAGCAUGAUUUUAUUACUCCAAAUUAUUUUUACUCUUUUUUGUUGGUAUUUUUGUCCCAUUGGAUUUUUGCCAAUUAAUAUUUCAAUGAGAUAGAUAUUUUGUAAUGUGUCAUUCAAGGGGGAGUGUUGUAAAAUGGAAAGUUUAUUAGGGUUUAUUGGUGAAUGAUAAUUACACCCCUACAGCCAUAGAAAUAAUUACCGUUAUAUCCCUGAUUCUGCGCUAUAAAUAUAAAGUUUUGGUUCUUAAUAAAACACACACAAGUCUCUUGACUUCUUUUUAUUCUCUUAUCUUUUCUUCACUUUCAUAACAUAUAUGAUAUUUUAUCAUUGACCUUAAAUACAAUCAGUUUUUCAAUCAAAUCAUCUAUUGUCAUCUCGAAUUAUGUCAUUGUAUCUAUUAAAUUUCUUUAGACAAAGUGACAAUCCAAAAAAAAACAAUUAUUCAAGCACAAGGAACCUUACCAUAAAUUUGCAUUGACUGGGUGGGAUUCUUUAAUAAUAAACUUAAAGAUUUUUGGGCAUCCGAUUUUUUGGCAUCUUUUCUUUUAUUAUGUAACAUACAAUACAAUAAUUGCGACUCUAAUGGAACAUUGUCACUCUUGGGAAGAGUUGGAAACAAAUCUACAUACAAAUUUGAAGUUCUAAUGAUGAGAUGAUGAUGGAAAUAUACAAGAUAUUAAUGGUAUAGUCUUUCCAUUAAUUUCUUUUUCGUGUCCACCUAAAUUCUUGCUCUAAAUUAUUUUGGGUAUUCAUUUCUUUUCAAAGUCCUCUUUGAACUUCGUCAUUGGCCAUAGUAUAAACUUCAUUGUACUUUGACACUAGUAAUGUUUCGUGUAUGCACAACUCAUACAAUAUGUGAAGGGUUUAUUGUAUCUUAGAGCCUAUUUGAGAAUGAUUUUUCACUCUAAAAAAUUGAUUUUUGAUCGUUAUUUCACCAUUCCAGUCGUACUUUUGAUUUCUUCACUCAUAGAUAGUUCCCACUUUUCUCCUAAAAGUCAAAAAAUCAAUUCUCAAAAUCAAUAUCGAACAGGUCCUUAGUAUGUAUUUAUAUUCUCGACUACAUCAUGAUUUAGAGAGGACAAAUAACAUCUUAAGCAAAAUGUAAACAAGUAUCUUGAAAUUGAGUUCUUCAUUGUUCGAGAUUAUGAAAUUCUGGCCAUUCGUGAUUUAGCCCUUGUUUGAUUUUCAUUACAUUACAUUAUAUUAAAUUCUAUUUUUCUCUCUCCUAUUUUCAACCACACAAUCUUCCAUAAAAUAAUAUUACACGUAAAUCGAAAAUUUUUCUUUCUUUUUCAACCACUCAUUUUUCAAAAAAUACUAUUCUAUACAUUAAAUUUCCCCCGUAAUGAGGGCCAAACUGGGGCUUAGAUAGAGUUUCUAUAAUUUUUCAAUCGUUCAAAAUAUCUACUAUAGGUCUCAAGCUGACACUGAAGUAUAACUACCAAUAUCUUUUUUGCCAGAGAAUCAGCAUCACAAAAGAACAAUACCCCAUUACCCCUUUACGGUGUCAUCUAAAAUAAUUAAAUAUAGAGGGAAAACUCUCGUGUACGCAUGGCAUCAAGCUUUCCCUGCACCAGCUGACAACUGGACAAUGAAACGUUGGCUUUAAGGUCGAUUUCCAAGGUACGCUUUUUCAAGAAAACCAAGGAAAAACCCGGGACUAAACCCAACUUUAUGGGACGUUUUAUGUAAGAAUCUUCUAGUAUCCUUCUACAUAGUGCUGUACAAAUGGUUUUGCUCUUUAUUGAGAGCCCAUACAUUUACUUCUGCAAAUCAUUAUCUGGCUAUCAUUUCCCUUUCUUUUCAAGAUCAUCGAAUUGUUUUUUCAACUGGGUUACCUGCAAAUAAAAUAUUUUCCACUGAUAAAUAUCAGUUAUUAUUAUUAUUAUUAUUAUUAUUAUUACUUUUCAAUAUAUGGCCGAGUGUCCAAUACAAAUACGAGCAGAUGAAUCAAGGAGCCCACUAGACCAGACCCCUCUUCUUGAAAAUCGUCAAGAAAAUGAUAAUGAAACCACUUUGGAUAAAACCCUUUUGCAGUUGGAAUUAUUUCUCACAAUUUUAGGAUUUAAUCAAACCACGGUGUUGAGUUUUGUGCUUUCUUGGGGUUUUCUUUUGCUGAUUGGAAUUUCGCUCCCUGUUGUGAUUCUUGAGCUUUCCAAUUGCCCAGGUUGUGAGAAGGGUCAGAUCAAGACUUUUGAAAUUGAUAUCGUGAUUUCUCAGGCUUGUUUAGCAGCUGCAUCUCUGGUGUGCGUUUCUCAUAAUUUAAGAAAGUAUGGUAUUAGGAAAUUUCUGUUUGUUGAUCGAUAUAGUGGACAUGUGGAGAGAUUCGGUGACCAGUAUAUUCAGAAGAUUUCAGUGAGUUCUGCUUCAAUUAACUGUGAUUUUCAUUGUGAUUAUUGACAUGUUUGGUACAAGUUAUUAGACAACUAUACUGUAUAAUAUUCAAUCUUUCAACUUUUUUCUUUCUUUCUUAAAAUUGUCCAGUCUACAUUACAAAACAUCCCCUAUGUGUUUACGUUAGUCUAAUAAUGCGUGUCUUUGACCGUUGUGAUCUUAUGAAUUUGUGCUAACUGCUUAUGUGUAUGUCGUGUUUCUUUGAAAAUACAUAAGGUAGAUGAUUAUGAGCGACUAUUUGAGUUUAGAGUUUGUUUGCCAAGGCUUUGAUUCAUUGGUUGGUGCUAAGAAAAUUCACACAAUUGAUUACUUAUUUCUAUGAUAAGUAGGAGUUUUGUAUAAUAUGACCUAUUUUUAACUUUAUGCAACAUAUGAAGCUCAAUGUUUCCCUUUCAGUUUUUGUUUCAUGAUUACUGCGAGAACUUUGACUGACUGACCAAGAAUGAAAAUGUUGAUUUUUUUUUUUUUUUUUUUGGUCGGUAUCAAUUUCAAAGGGACUUUUUAAGUUUGACGGGGAUUUUGUUUUCGCAGAAUUCUAUGCGCUUGCUAGUGUUAUGGGUGCUGCCUUGUUUCAUUCUGAAGUCUGCACGUGAAGUCAUCCGCAUUUUAUACGUUCGUCAUGAGUCAUGGUGGCACUCUGUUGCUAUUUUAUUCGCCCUUAUCCUUUCAUGGACUUGCGUGACGACAAUAUUUCUUUCGGCAUGUAUUUUGUUCCAUGUGGUUUGCAACUUGCAAAUAAUACAUUUUGAGGAAUAUGGGAAGCUUUUGGAAAGAGAACAUGAUUGUUUGGUAUUAAUACAAGAGCAUGCUCGUUUACGCUUCUAUCUCUCCAAAAUAAGCCACCGAUUUAGAAUAUAUCUUCUUCUUCUGUUCUUGAUCGUCACUAUAAGCCAGUUUGUGACUUUAUUCCAAACUACUGAAUAUAAUGGGAUGAUUACUUUCAUAAAUGGUGGUGACUUUGCGGUAAGCUCUAACCUUCAUGGUACAUUUCUUUUCUGCUGAACAUCUUUGAGUGAAUGUUGGUUUCUAAUUUCCAAUUUCAAUAAGAGUAACUGUUUAACGGUCACGAUAACAGACUUUUUGGCUAAAGAUAAAUAUGCUUUACAGAGUCAGAUUUUGAAUUUAAUUUUACUUUUAAAUUUUUUAGGGAACAUCUAAGCUCAGUAGGUUAGUUAAGCUUAAAAGUUAUUUUUUAAGUGCAUAGAUUUUCUAGACUUGGCCAAACAUGUCCUUUUUGUGGGAAACCUGCAUUUAUGUUCUGCAACCUGGGUAAUUAAAGUUAUUUUAUCUUGUUUUUUGAUCUAUUUCCUGGUUGUAGGUGUCCUCAAUUGUUCAAGUAAUCGGAAUAAUUCUCUGCUUGAAUGCCGCUGCAAAAAUAUCCCACAGAGCCCAGGCUGUCGGUGCACGUGCAAGUAGAUGGCAUGCUUUAAUGACUUGUAGUGCUACCGAUUCAUCUCUGUUGAGAACUUCGAAUAGCAUGGGAAAUCUAAAUGCUGCUAAUAUGUCAGGCUCGUUAUGUAUGAACUACUCAGAAAGUGAUUUGGAUUCACUUGAUUUCGUUGUUGGGCCAACAAAUACACAAUUGGCGUCUUAUAUGUCCUCGUACCACAAGAGACUAGCUCUAGGUAUGUAAGUUAACUACUGCUGUUUUGUACAGAAUUAGAUGCUAAGCUUAAAAAAUUGUUUCCAAAUAUGUCUGGCUUAGUUACUUAUUUUGGAAUUAACUCUUUCCUUAAUGUAAUAAGUCACUAACUUAUUUCCAGUUUUGAUGAAUCAAAUAACUUUUAAGCAAACCUUUUUAAGCUGAGACAAACUUGUUCAAUUCGGCAAUGCAUUUUUGGUGAAAAGAGCUCUAUGUUACUCCAAUCUUGAAAAGUCGAAUGAUUUCUCCUUGCUGAUCCUGACGACUAACAUGUAGGCUUGGCAUCAAGAGCAAAAGAAUUUGUAUUUCCGUAAUUAACUUACCUUUUUUACUCAAGACUUUAGGUUACCAUGUUUGGCCCUGUUAGUCUUUGAUUCUUUUAUUCUCUUUUUGUAAAAUCUGUAUUGAUAUGAAAAUCUACUCUAAACACUUCCCUGUCACUAGUGAGAGUGGUAUAUAUCACACACUUCUUUUCUGGUUUUUAAUAUUGAGAGUUUGUUCUAAGUUUAAUGUGCAGCAUUUCUCAUCAUUUCUCCCUCGGAAUUGAUAGAGCUUGCCAUUUUCAAAAGAAAUGGUUUCUUCUUCUAGAAGAUUUACCUACAUGUCGUUAGAAAAUAAAAGAUGUGUUCCUUUGCCUCAUUUUGGAAUUUGGGAAACAAGACGGUGAAUAACACCAAAAAUAGAGAAAACCAACGGUACCAAUAAUAGAGUUAUGACUAGAGGGACAGUUUCAAUUCUAUUAACAUCUUAUACCAGGUUCUCUUGCUAUUCUCUUACAAUGUUAGUUUCUGGCAGAUUAAGCAAUGUUACAUUUACAUUAGAUUUUCAUAUAUGAAUGAACCUGAUACACAUUAAUUUCUAUUAUACUUGAACUCGUUGAUCCAUUAAGACUUGAGUUAUACCCUUACUUUUUGGUUUUGCAUUCUCUUCUGAUGUUACCAUUUCUGCAUACGUUUUACAUGUUUGAUUGUUUUUACACUGUCUAUGCAGUGAUGUAUUUGCAGUCGAAUCCUGGGGGGAUUACAAUCUUUGGGUGGACAGUAGAUCGAGGUCUAAUAAACACAAUAUUCUUCAUUGAACUGUCGCUUGUUACCUUUGUUCUGGGAAAGACCAUUAUUGAUCCGUCCUGAGUAACGCAUGAUCAGAGAGUUGGCAUUGUUCUUGAUGAAUCAACAUGGGUUAUUUAUCUGAGUUGCAAUCAGGUUCAACUGGCUGAUCCUAAACUCACAAGGACUCAACUCUCCUUCUUGCUUCCUGCAUCAAGAGCAAUGAGUACGUGCCCAGACCUGCCGAUGAGUUAUGUUAUCCACUUCUCGUCUAUUUUUAUUGUACUGCUUUCCUCUUUCAAUGCCAGUUGAGGAGAGAAUGUCGAGGAAGGGGCCAGGAUGAGGUAAGGGAGGGAAAAGAUCGACAUAGAAAGGCAAUCAAAGUGAAGCUCAUUGGAAUACUUCUAAAGGUUACCCUAUAAAUGUUAUUUCUGUAUGCAUUGUAAAGAAAAGUGGAAAAAUAAUGAUUAACAUUCGUUUUGUAUAAAAGACCGGUGAAACAAUUGGAGUCAAUUAUCUCUAUUUAUACCAUUUUAUUUCUUGAUUUACAAUAGAAGGGAGAAAAAAAGGCCCUGUAACUGGAAUUUUUAUGAUUUUGAUUCUCAGUUGUUUACUGUAUUGGUUGCAUUCUUCUAUUUUUUGAUUCACAUAGUUUUUGUAAGAAUCCUGUUUAGGCAAGUCCGGCUUGGCCUGGCCAGGGCAGUGUCUGCAGCCCAAUACCAGGAAGCACUCGUCAAGGUGGAAGGAUAUGGGAAGAAGGCAGUAUUUUCUAUGAAGUUUUCUUCUACUACUGCUUCUUUAGAAGUGCUUUUUAAAAAAUUUAAAAGUUCUUCUAACGAAUCAAAAUAUUCUAAAGUAGCUUUUGACUUUUCAAAAGUAUAACAAUUAUCAAAAUUCGAAACUGUUAGUGAAAGCUAACUUCCGUCUUCCUAAGCUAGUGUUUUAUUUUAUUUUUUAUUUUUAUUUUUUUUCAAAGUUUGAUUGUGUUGGUAACUUAGUUUAUGCAAAGAAAUUAUGCAUCAAAUGAUGCAUAAUCAUUUUGAAAAUUUGUAGCAGCUUCCAUCAAAGAUACAUCUACUUUUCUUGGUUUUAUUGGGUGUCCCUUUGGAACAUAUUAGAAGACGAGAAAUACUAUAAAACUUCCGCAAAUCAGUGAAUGUCAAUAACCUCGCUUAAAAGUAAGAUUUCUUGGUCCCUAUUCGAGCCAAUUUAAAAAAUUAAUCAUCUCGCUAUAUUCAUGAGAUAAUAGUUUUUAAAGAAAGGCUCAAUGAAAAUGUAAAACAAUAUUUGUUAAGAAAAAGUAGAACUUCUUAAUACAUACUCUGAAAUUUUUUACUUUGACAAAUUCAAUAAUGUUAAGGGUUUGUUUGGUGCUGAUUAUAAGAAUUGAUUUUUUGAUAAUUAACUUAAAAUGUGAAUCCUACCUGUGAGUGAAGAUGUCAAAAAUGACGGCUGAUUAUAGUAAGUUACGGUCAAAAAAGUUAUUUUUGUCGCACUCGAUUCUCAAAUUAACAUAAAUUGUUCGUGAUAAUAGUUUCUCUCCAAUUUUUUCUUUAGGAUAGAGUAUAAAAAUGUUUGUCCAUUGUAUUUUUAAAUAAGUAAAACAAGUAAUAAUGCGAAAAUAAGAUUAAAUAUUUGACCCUCGUUUUAAAGCAUGUUAACAAUAUUUUUAAAAAAAAAUCAUGAUUAAUGACAAGCUUUUUUUAAUCAAUAAAAUGGUUAAAAUAAGAAUGUGACGAAAAAAAAAUUAAGAAUAUAAAUGUGAUAGUGAAUAAAGAUUAAUGAUAUUUAAUUAAUUAAAUGUGGUGUACUUGUAAAAAAUUUGGUGUGAAUAAUAUAACCGCCUUUUUAUAAUUUUAAUUCAAUUUUUCUAUACAUAUGCAUCUAUGGUUGCUUUUCUUUUUCUUUCUUUCCCCUAUCGAUCGGUCCAUCGCUGACCAAAGGUCGACGGUGACCACCAACCAGCACAUAGAGGACCUUUUUGUUUGGUCUUGAAGGAGAUUCGAACCCUUGGUGGCAACGUAUCUGGGCUUGCAAUAGAAGAAUGGCUAAUGAUUUCUGACGAAGACUUUCGUUUACUCCAUAAUUCGGGCUGACGAUGCAGAUAUUCAGCAUACGAAGCGACGCAAAGGGUCAAGAAUUUUCUUUGAAUAUUUGAAAAUUCACGAGGAAUGGCAAGUUAAACUCGUGGCUUAUAAAUAUAGAGAACAAUUGCAAUAUAAUCGUCAAAGCCAGCGUAUUUGAACGUGGACCAAGAUGAAAAAAUUAUUAAAGGAGUGAUUCUUGGGGGGAAAAAUAAAUAAAAAUUGAUGGACUGACUUUGGCAUAAAUUUUUUAGUAGACCCGUUUGAUUAUUUUGGAAGAUCAAGAUUGAUUUGUGUUCUCUUCUGUUAGAAUAUCGAAAUAAUAUAUUUACUUGUCAAAAAUGUUCCAAAUCAUUUCUGUAGGAUGCUUGGAAAAAAAUUAAGACCUGCCCCGUGUUCAUGAAAAAAAAAAAAAAAGUUGAAUUGUGCAAAUAAAAUGAAAAAUGGUAAACUAAAAACUCUCUUGAAAACAAUCUUCUAUAUUUAAAUUAUGCAUUUGAUAACAACCAAUAAAAUUAACAAAGAGUAUCACAUCUUAUCAUUAUAGAGCAAACCUAGAUAAUAAACGAAAACAAUAAUCUUGCAUUUUAUCAUUCAUUUGAACCAAACUUAUAUUUGAAUCAAAAACAAUUUUAUUUCUAGAAAAUUCAUUCUUUAAAAAUUCAUUUUGAAUUUGUAUUUUAAUCUCUAAUAAUUGCAGAACUCAAAAUUUCGAAAAUGUAUAUAAAAAAUAAUAAAAAUAAAAAUAAACGGGGUAGCAAACAAGACAAAAAGCCUCUCGCCCCGUCUAAGGCGGGACGGGAUAGGGGCGGGGUGGGGCCCCCACACCGUUGCCAUCCCUAUCAUCCACACACUGAUGGUUAAAUCGAAGUGGCUAAAAUCACACCAGGUUACAUAAUUCAAUGUGCUUGUGGUGAUAAGCCUAAAUGGUGGAAUGUAGAUUUACCGAAUUUUCUUUCAAUAUCUCGCCAAAUUGUUCGACUAAGCAAGCACCACUCUGUUUACCCGUGGUUGAUCAUAACAAACCAGAUUAAUAUUGUUUCUAACAAAUUAUUUUGAAUAAUGAUAGUUCAAUUUUAAAAUCAAUUAAGCACUAAGUACUCAGGUCAAAUCAUUAGAGACGAAGAAAGAUCAAGAGCACGAGAGAUGGCAUCAAAGAAAGAUGUCAAGAUCGAAGUCACACAUUCAAUAAUUUAAGAGCCAAAUUUCGGAGGAAGAUUAAAGACUUGAUUUCUUAGGUAAAAUGUAAAGGUACUAACACUUUAAUAUUUGGCAAUGAAUGGUUAAGCUCAAAAUCCUUCCAUGCAUAAAAAAUAAUUUUUGUGUACUAAAAGUCAUUCCAAUGCAUCGUUUUGAUCAAAUAUAAAAAUGAUUUUUAAAAAUGAUAUUUGGACUUUAAAAAACAUUUUUAUCAUGAAAGAAUAGUUAAAAAUAUUUUUCAAAGGUCCAUGCAAUUUAAAACUUCCAAAUCGGAACAAAUGGGGCUAAAACAUAAAAAACACCGCGCUACCCUAGGAGGGGUCGACCAGACACCCUCUAAUGGUCCAGAAUUUGACCACUCUGAAUUCUGAUUUUUGCUGUUCAAAUGGCUAUAUUGAUCUUCCGGACAAGAGACGGUCGACCGGACUAGCAUUCUGCAAAUAUAGAUUUCCCCCCCUUUUUGAACUCUAUAAAUAUCCUCACUCUUUUCAUUCUUCAUAAGAUUUCCAAGUAAAUCAAAGUGGGAUAUUUUUGUUUUAAGAAUUCUUUGAGCUUUCAUUUGCAUUCAUUUCAUUUGUUUUUUCAUAUAAAAAAUUUUGAUUGAUUCAAACUCAUUAAUCAUCAUUCUCAUCAAAGUUUUCCAUCUUUCUUUGUGUUUAAUUUAUUUAUACCAUUCUUAAAAGAGUUGUAUAUUCUUGAAGAAUGUACUUGCAUUUACAUUGCAUAAAUCUUUCCAAUUCUUCAGAUUGAAAAUUUUUGAUUGUUGAAUCAAAUUUCUUGAAUCAUUUCUUCAUCAAAGUUUUUCAUAUUUCUUUAUGCUGGACUUAUUUAUAUCAAUUUUCAAAGAGAUAUAUUCUUGAAAAAAGCUCUUUGCAGUUUUAUUGCAGAAAUUUUUCAACUUCUUCAUAUUAAAAACGUUGAUUGAUUGAAUCAAAUUUGUAAAAUUAUCAUAUUCAUCAAAGUUUUUAAUCUCUCUUAGUACUUGAUUUAUUAUAAUUAUUCAUUAAAAGAGAGAUUUUUUUAGAAGAUUAUUUAAAUUUAAAUUUCAUUUAAUUCUUCUUCAUCUUCUCAUUGAAAUACUUUGAUUGGUUGAACUUAAUUUUCAUUUUCAUCAAAGUUUUUCAUCUAAUACUUGAACUAUCAUUUGUCACUAUUCAAUUUUCAAAGAUAUAUAUUUUACGAACUUUCUAGUUUUCCAAUUUUAUUUUUAUUUUUUCAAGGAACUAAUUUCACUUUGGCUAUUUCAUUAUCGUAUAAUUUUCAAAAGGAUAAUUCAAGAUGUGUUGAAUUCCUCACAUUUUUAUAGCAUUAAUAACUAGAAAUAGCUUCAUGUAAUUAAUUUAUCGAUAUAUUAAUAAACAAAUUAAAAACCCCAUUAAAGUAAAAAAAUUUCUCGAUCCAAACAUUAUUAUUUUGUAAAGAUUUUAAUGUAAAUUUGAAUUAACAACGUCUAAUGAAUGGGAGCAAUCUAAUAAAUAUAGCAAUAAAGUGAAUGAUUGAAGCUGUAAAAUGAUUUACGUAGUGAGUUGUUUUUUUUUUUUUUUUUUUUUUUUUUUUUUUUUUUUUUAUAUUAUGAGUCUUACAUCCAUCAUUGAAAAGCAUUCUUUAAUAUAUGUCCGUGGACUUCUUGCUAAAUCUUGCCAAAAGUUCAUGGUAUUGUUUAAAUUUGCUAUGUCAAAAUUCAUAAAUAUUUUUGCAUUAACAUGCAUCAAUUCCAUUUUACUCUAUAAUGUAUAUGAUUUAAUGAUCUUCUGCAUUGGAAUAUGUAGUGUGAUCAAAUCUCCUCGAGGAAGCAGACAAAUACUAUGAAUAUGAUAUUUUUUAUCGUGAGGACUCAAUAUGAUGUUAUGCAAUGCACAUUCGAUGUAAAAUUUAAAGUUGUAAUGACCCAUUUGUCAAGAAGGUAGAAUAAGAAUUCAUUUGAACCAUGUUUCGAUGCUAAUAGAAGUCAUGUUGGGGAGUUCAAUACGAGAAAUAUGAUUUGUUGUUGAUUCAUGUUUCGAUGAUACUUGUUUAUUAACAUCAAAAUAUGACUCAACCCAACAUUGACACGAUUAAGUUGAAAAAUCUUGACAUAGUUAGGAGAUGAACACGGACAAACUACUUGACCUUAUACGUAGUGAUUGUGAGUCGAGACAAGCUCAAAAUUCAUUUAUAAGUCAUGUCAUGUGUUCAUCACUCGAUAUCCAAGGUGACUGAAGUAGAACUUGCCCAACUUAUUUGUCUAAAUACCCAAAUGAAAUUGAUGAUAUUCGUAUGUUAUUGUGUACAAAUUGUGUAUGGAAUAUAUAAAAAAAUUUUUUUUUUGGGGUUUUUUUUUUUUUUUUUUUUUUUUUUUUUUGACUUGAGUUAAAGUCUAGUCCGUGGUUAAAUCAUUCAAUAAUCUUUCAUGGGAAUCUCUAAAAAUAGUUACACGGUAAUAAAUUACAUGCAUGUGUAAGCACUUAAACCCUAAUACCAAGAUUUUAAGAAUUUCAUGAUUUUCACAUAUAAUUUAAUUGAUAAAGAAACAUACAUUGAUCCAUGACAAUAAUCGAGCAAUUAAAUCUGCAAAAAAAAAAAAGAAGAAAAAAAGAAAAAGAGAGAGAAUUGUUAAAUUAAAGAAAUUGUUAUCUCAUCUUUCCUCUCUGUAAUUUAAUUGAUGUGUUUUAUUCACGUUUAUAGGCAGAGAGGCAAUUUUCUAUUGGCCAUAAAACUUUCCACUUUUCAUCAAAGUAAACAGUUAUAAAACUGUUACUUUUCAAUUGGACCAAUAGGAUUUUAGUAAUAUUAAUCACCUUUAAUUAAUUCUUAAAUAUUACAUGGGCCACAAAAUAAAUGGUUUUACGGCAUGUUAUAAAGAUCUAAAUGCUAUGAAUAUUUUAUACAAAGUCAGAAAUCAAACGAAUCGAAUAGAGUUCUAUAAAAAAAAAAAAAAUAAAAUAAAAUAAAAUAAUAAUAAUAAUAAUAAUAAUAAUAAUAAUAAUAAUAAUAAUAAGUUCAUGACGACUUAUCAUGGAUUUAUUGAUUAAAAACUGUAGUUAGUCGUUGCUGGCGAUUCGCAACCACUCUUCCAUUACAUUGUUUCUUAAUCAUUUUCCUCGUUCAGCUCUCACUUUUCAACCAAAUAAUUACAUGCUUUGCACGUGAUGACAUAUUCUAGGGUUAUUUCGUCAAUGUAAAGUUGACUACAUUUAUUUCAAAAACAAUUAGAAUUAGGAAAAAUGGAAAGCUAAAAUUUAAGUAUUGAAGGACCGAACAAGUAUCAUACACCCGACCUCACUUAUAUUUAUAUAAAACUUUAUUUAUUAUUGAAUUAAAAUUUCUUCAACCAAAUAAAAAAUAAAAAAAUAUUCUCUCUCUCUUUUUUUUUUGACACUUCAUCUAUUUGUAAACCAUUAUAUAACUUGUUAUGUACAAGUAGCAAUAUUCUUUAAAAUUAACCAUCAUGUCUUAGGUCCCGUUUGGGAGCGAUUUUAAGAAUUGAUUUGAUGAUCAUUAGGGGGCCUACCCUCCAACAUGCUUCUUAUUCAGAGCUUGUUUGGAAUUGAUUUUUCACUCCAAAAAAUUGAUUUUUUGACAAUUAUUUCACUAUUUCAAUUGUAAAAUUUGACUUUUUCUCUCACAAAUGGUCUCUACUUUUUUCCUAAUGGGGCUUUCACAACAAUCCUGCCAUUCUCAAUGGAUGCUACCCAGUACUCCAGCAUUUUGAAGUCCGAAUGACAUGACAUGGUGACUGUAAUGAUCACAAAAUCAAUUUUCGAAAUCACUUCCAAACGGGACCUUAAUAUCGUAAGACAUAAAAUAAAAUUGGGCUCUUGUCUGGGGUCGGUUAAAUGGCAAUUAAAAUUAACAAAUAUCUGACUACUUUUCUGAAUAUACAUUGUACCCAUAAUUCACUGGUUGCUCAUAUUCCUUAUUUACCCUCAAAAUCAAUUCACUUUGUGGGGCCGGUCAAAUAUUGUUGCCAAAUAAAAAAAUAAAAAAUGAAAAGGGCAUAAUAGACUUUUGGUUUAUUUUAAAGUACUGUGCUUUCAAAAAAAAUUGGCAGAACUUUGAUUAUAUUUCAAACAAGUGUGGGAUCAGUGAGGUGACUGAAAAAUCGAUUUUUUUCUACAACAAUUGCACCGAGAUAGACGCUUAAAAAUUUACAGCUGUUUAGGAGUGAUUUUUUCCUCCAAAAAAUUGAUUUUUUAAUCGUUAUUUUACUAUUUCAAUCGUUAUAUUUGACUUAUUCUCUCACAGGUGAAUUCCAUUUUUCUCCUAAAGGUCAAAAAAUCAAUUCUCAAAAUCACUUUCAAACAGGCUCUUAUUGGUGAGCCUCUCAAAAAAGGUUAAACCCUAACCUUAAGAGUCCCCCACCACCCCUGUCCUGGAGCAUCGUGAGGGAGGUAAAUCGCAAGUUAUGCCUCCAAGGGUACAGGGUGGAAGGUUGCUUGUACACUUGCACUUAUCCAAGAGCCAAAUCCAUAUUUCAGGAUUCGAACCCUUGACGUAGCAGCCUCAAAUAAAGUUGGAUUUCUCCACCCUCCUCUUUUACCAUUUGGAAAUGUGCCCUGGGGGCUCUGAUUGGUGGGCCUCUCAAUUACUUAAGAGAGCGUCGAGGACCGGUAAUGUUAGCCAGCAUUAAAACUGAAAAUGAUAGGCAACUGUGAUGUAACUUCAUUCCAGAACCAUGAUAACAAGUCCACAUUGACUCUACCUAACCCACCACGUUUCUUGUCUACUUCCCCGCCAAGACCAAGAAACUCCCGAACCGUGGGUUGGUUUGAACCUUUAUUGACCAUUCUAGAUUCCAAUUUUCUCAUAUUUCAGAUUCCCCAGUUCCAAAUCGCGUGGGAAACAGGUAUAAAUACUACACACAACAUAAACAAUCCAUCAUAUCCUGUGUACUGAAAUCCAUAAUCCAUUUUCUUGUUUCAGUUUAUUUGAUAGCUUUUCCCAGUACGUUAUAUGAUGAACAAGUGCGAACGUGUGUUCAACUAUUUCGAUAAAGACAGAGAUGGAAAACUAACCCCGUUGGAGCUCCACCGUUGCAUUGGAUCAAUCUGCGGUGAUUUAUCACUUGAAGAGGUACAACAGGUGGUUGCGCCGUUGAUUUCCAGUGAGAACGGGGUUCUGGGAAUGGAUGAAUUGGAGUGUUUGGUCGAAAGCGACAACGAAGAAGAGAGAAUAGAGGACUUGAAAAAGACGUUUAGAAUGUAUGAAAUGGAAGGAAACGAAUGCAUUACUCCAAGAAGUCUAAAGAGAAUGCUGAGCAUAAUGGGAGAGUCGAGGUCUGUCGAUGAAUGUGUUGGAAUGAUUAAUCGAUUUGAUCUCAACGGCGACGGGGUGCUCAGCUUCGAUGAGUUCAAAAUCAUGAUGCUGAGCUAAGUAUUGCAAGCACAUGCAUAAAAUAUGCUAUUACUGCGUCACUAACUAAGAAUUUUUUCAUUUAUUUUUCUACUACAGGAUUUUUCGAGUGAAUAUUGGAUUUGAUUCUUUUGUAAGUUUAUUUGUUCAUGCGAUCAUUUAUCGCAUUUAAUAAAAAUGAAUAUUUCUACUAUAUUGAAGCGAUCUAUGACACGAGUUCGAUCAAACUAGAUACACUGGAUACAAAGAAUAAGAGGCAAAUCUUCUCACUAGUUUCUAACACCAACAUCCCCAUAUACUCCACUCCAUCAAACCCUCGGAGGGGAAAGCAAAGCAAAACAUAUUUACCACAAUAUGCUCAAGGCCAAAGAAAGAAAAUUUGACGGGAGGAUAAAAAUGGACCGAGAUAGUCUUAAAGCUACCAUGAUUUGUAAUUGAGAUACUGAUGCAAGUUUUUCCCUUCUGAAUUACAUAGAUUCAUAUUGAAAAGAAAUUAUCUCUGUUUGAGGCAUUCCCAAAAAUAUUCGAGAUCGAGUGAACAGUUCUACGAACAAAUUAGAAGUUCAUCUCAAUCUUUUGCAUGAAUUAAGUAGUAAUCCUUGCUAUUUAACCAAUUGCUUCUUUCCAUGGAGCUUUCCUUAAUUUCUUGCUGUUGAAAAGCCGGUAGUGUAUGUUGAGGUGGUGCGCUCUGAGAUGACUAUGCAUUACUCCAAGAGAAGUUUGAAUAAUUUCUCCAACCCAAAAUCGUAUGUGUUGGAGAGGGGGUUGUAUUACUGUCUCUGAUAGUGUUGCAUAUAAUUUGCCUCCUAAGUUGAUUGGGAAAAUUGCAGCAAAAGUCCCAAACCUUUCACUUUGUUGUAGAAUAUAUCUUAACCUUUUAUUUUUUGCGACUAUAAUCCCAAACCUUUCACUUUAACGGCACUCAAAGUCCAUUGGGCAGCAUCCGUCCAGUAUUCCGUUGGUCAACUCAAAAUUCAAACUUUGACUCAACUUGAAAAAUUAAGUACAAGGUAAAAUGGUAAAUUACAUUUUUUAUAAUAAAGGGAAAUAAUUAUAUCAAAAACCAAUAAAAUAAAAUAAAUAAAUGAAUACACUAUUCAUCUUCCUCAAUCCCCACCGCUCCAACCCUCACCUAUCCCUAAAACUAAAACCAGAAAAUCAGUCUGUGCUGACCGCAGUCAUUAGCCCAGACAUCGCACCAGCCAUUGACCUACUCUAUCCCAAUGACCCAUUCGCAAACCCUAUAUAUAUAUAUAUAUAUAUCAUGCCAUUUUGCACCGCCACCGUUGAUGGCUACCAACCAUGAAACCGCUAGGCACCACAAACACCCAAAAUCAUGGCCACAUGUAAAUAGAGCAAAAAUUGCCAAAAAUGUCAAGGCCUUCUAAAAAAAUAUUUCUGUAAAUUCUCCGAUUUGCAUACUUCCAAUUUUAUCCAUCCGAAUCUCCAAAAUGUCCCCAGAUUUUUACUUGAAAACAACAUUUCUGCACAAUUGCACUUCAAUACAUAAUGGAUAUAGAGAUAUAGACACAAUGAUGCAUGUGUAAUUGUGUUUAAUUGUAUGUUUCUUCCAUACACUGGUGGAAGUUUGGUCCGAUUCCAGUCACGUUGGGUCUGGCAGCACCUGAUUUAACGAUUUUGUGGAUACAAAUGAAAUAGGUUAUGAAGAAAUUAAACAAAGAACUUUUCAGAAAAUGGAAAAUUACAAAUUUUGGAAAAAAAAAAUUGUUCAAUGUCUAGUGAUUUUGAAGAGGGUUCCAUGAAAUUAAAUUAGAAUGAGAAUUAGAAAGACAACUAGUUGGUGGGUGUUGGGCAUAGGUCAUUGGAUGAGAAGAAUAGGUCAAUGGCCGAUGACGAUGGCCAACACUGAUUUUCUAGUUUUUGGGGGAUGGGGGAGAGGGUGUUUAGAAGAGUGGGGAUUGAAGGAGAUAAAUAGUGUAUUUAUUUAUUUAUUUUAUUGGUUUUUAAUAUAAUUAUUUUCCUUUAUUAUAAAAAAAAUUGUAAUUUACCAUUUUACUCGUCAUUUAAUUUGUUAAGUUGAGUCAAAGUUUGAACUUUUGAGUUGACUAACAGAAUGUUGGACAGAUUCUGUCCAAUGGACUCCGAGGGCUGUUAAAGUGAAAGGUUUGGGAUUGUGUUCGCAAAAAUAAAAGGUUAAGGUAUAUUCUGCAACAAAUUGAAACGUUUGGGACCUUUGUUGUAAUUUUCCCUAAGUUGAUUUGAUAAAUGGGCUUCCCAUAUUAUAGUCUAUACUUUCAUUAUUUUUCCUACAAUGUUUACACUUCAGCCUGGAUACUUGAACUGUAUUCACUGUCUGAUUAUUUGCAAUUCAACCUUUUUUAGUUAAUGCUACAAGCUGAGCUAAAAUCGUUGUCAUGUAUUAACCUUAUAAAUUCCCAUAGCUCUCUUUCCAUUGAUCUAUUAGAUGACCAUAAUGCACUAGUGACAACACGAUCUUUUAUAAUUUGAUACACGUGAUCGGCUUUCUUGCUGGUGAUUGAUCCAUCACAAGCAAAGUCAACGUUAGCUCUGUUAGUUAAAUUUAGUUCAAUGUAGAAAUAUUCGACUUGGAGCCACGUUAUCGACAUUGUCGGAGUAACACUUUGUAUCUUUUCCAUGCCUUAUAGUCGCAUUUCGAAUCAAACUGAAAGAAUUUAUUGAUUUCAUUCUUCAACUUGACAGUCCUGUUUGGUGGAAAAAAGUUAUUCAAGGACUUUUGGCAUUAACUAUUCCAUGUUGUGAUGUGGUAAGAACAUAUUCAACCAUUCUCUAGCAAAUUCCCUCAAUGUAUGUGGAAACAAUCUCAAUUGGAUUUUAGAACUAGAAACACUCGAAUAUUCAAUAGUUGCACACAUAUUGAUCACAUCUAUUCUCAGAUAAAAAUUUUCUUACCCAAAUGAUAGAUAAGCUAUGCUCGAUCGAUUCUCUACUACUGAUGGAGCAACGUAUUGUAAGUGUUAUGCCUAAAUCCAAUCGAUUUAGGUUGUAAACACUUUUAAUAUGUUUAAUGCAUUUAAUUUUGGCAAGAUCUAUUAUUUAUUUAAAUUAAUUUUGUGAUAAAUAAUAUUAAAUAAUAUAGUCCGAAAAUCCAAAUUUAAGUGAUUUGUUAAUCAUAAGGAGUUGUGAUUAUGAGAUACAAAUUACGUAUGAUUGGAUCUUGAAUAAACCGUGAUAGUAAGUAAUAACGAGAUACGGAUAUCGUUAAUAUAGAUAGACCAUCAUGUGUGGCAUUUCUUACUUAUGAAGUAAGUAGCUGAUCUCACGAGCUAAAAUGUGGUGACACUUAAAUGAAUACGUGGAUAUUUUGUUAUAGAACAAAACAUUGGAGACCCGCUAAGAGAUUCCACAUGGAUAACUAUUUGAGUAUUAGUGAUUAAUCUCUAACGUUCGGUAGUGGAAUUGGUCCUAUGACUUAAGGUCAUUAUAGUGCCAUGUAUGAGGACAAUCGUGCUUUGACGGUGUUGGAUGUUGCUCUGCCAAGGGCCGCUAAUACGACAUCGUUUGGGUAUGUCAAGAAUCAUAUGAAGGUUGUGAAUGACUAAUAGAGGAUUCGUCACUCUUAGAUAGUAAGAGAUUAUGAUCUGCAUUUCAUUUAAUUAGAUCGAUAACGAAAUCCUUGGCCAAGGUAUACAUAUUAGUCGAAAAUGAGUUUUCGACUCAUAUUGACUUAAUAGUAAAAUGAAAGAUAUGAUCGAUAAUCGAGAUUGACACACUUCCAUAUCUCGUAGUUGAUCGAAUCAUAUUGACGAAGGGAUUAUAGUUUCAUGGUAAACAAACAGCUUUGGUUUUGUCAUACCACGUGACAUUUUCCAUCACAUGUGUUGCCCUAAUACAUUGCUAGAUGUCAAUUUGGGACGGUGAGUGUGAAUUUGUGAUAAAUUAAAAGGGUGUUUAAUUUAUCAGUUUUGAUUAGAUCAAAAUAAUAUUUCACUUAUGCAUCGUGGUCGGGAACCUAAUGGGUCGCACACCAAAGAGAAUUGGAAGAUUGCAAAUUGUCAAUUAAUUAUUUUAACAAUCGUUGGAUAAAUUAAUUAAUUGGAUUGAUUAUUUAUAUCCCCGAAUUAAUUAAUUGGGUUAUUUAAUUCACGGAUCGGGUUUAAUUAAAUAUUGAAUCGGACCGGGCCGAGCCGAGCCCGUUUGGGUUUAUAUAAAUACAUAGUUAAGGUUUGAGAUCCAUGUUAUUUUCAUUAUUCUUGCUGGCACAAGAGGAAAAAUUCUAGCAGUUGCAGUCUAUUCUCUGUGUGGAUUUCAUUGGAGGCUGAACAAUUGGACAGUUAUGGGAGGCAGAUUCAAGUUGCUGGAAAAUGAUAACGCAAAGCAAUUUGCAAAAUCAAGAAAAAUAUAUAUUUUUCAUCAGAGUUCUUAUCUAAAUACAAAGAUGAAUUUUGGUGAGAAUUGAAACUGUUUAUUUCCACUGUGAAUGUUUAAGUAAAUUCCCAACACAUAGUUCCUCUUUAAUCCCUCAUUAUCGUUAUCCACAACUACAAUCAAAUGUGCUUCAUUUUCAUUCACCACAAUGGCGUUUCACUUUUGUAUAUUAUAUGAAAUUGCUUUUACUUGCUAUUUUUUCUGAGCGUCUGUAUUUGUCGUCUCAACCUAAAUAUUCAUUUGAAUUUUGAAUCAAAUGGAGUGAGAGCAUCGUAUCUUAAAUUUUGCAUAUGAGAUCUUGAAUUUAUUAUUUUUUUUAAAAAAAGGAAAACACUAUAAUUUUGAUAUUAUAAACUACAAUCUAAAGAAAGCAAUAAAAAAUUCAAAUUAAAGUUAUAACUAAUAAAACAAAUUAAAUAUUUUAGUCAUGGAAAUUAAAGUCAUAACUUACUAAAACUAAAAAAAAAUAGUAUAGUCAGAAAACAACAAAAAAAUUUUGAUAAAUAAAAUUUCGCAAGUCCACGAUAUAAGUCAAGUAAUAAAAAAUGAGUAAAGUAAUUCUAUGACUGUGUGCUUAAAGUAGUUCUAAUUAAUACUAGCUCUUGUCAAAUAUCUGAUUUAUGAUUCUUGAUUUCCAACACUAUUUAAUUAAACUAAUCUGAUGAGCAACAUUUCUUGUCUACUUCCCCGCCAGGACCCGGAAACUCCCAAACCGUGGGUUUCAACCUUUAUUGACCAUUCAAGAUUCCAAUUUUCUCAAAUCGCGUGGGAAACAGAUAUAAAUACUACCCACAACAUAAACAAUCCAUCAUAUCUUGUCUACUCAAUUCCAUAAUCCCUUUUCGUGUUUCAGUUUAAUUUGAUUGCUUCUUAUAGUACGUUAUAUGAUGAAAAAGUGCGAACGUGUAUUCAACUAUUUCGACAAAAACAAAGAUGGAAAACUUACCCCGUUGGAGCUCCACCGUUGCAUUGGAUCAAUUUGCGGUGAUUUAUCACUUGAAGCGGUACAACUGGUGGUUGCGCCGUUAAUUUCCGGUGCGAACGGGAUUCUGGGAAUGGAUGAAUUGGAGUGUUUGGUCGAAAGUGAUAACGAAGAAGAGAGAAUGGAGGACCUGAAAAAGACGUUUAGAAUGUAUGAAAUGGAAGGAAACGAAUGCAUUACUCCAAGAAGCCUAAAGAGAAUGCUGAGCAUAAUGGGAGAGUCGAGGUCUGUCGAUGAAGUGUUGGAAUGAUUGAUCGAUUUGAUCUCAACGGCGACGGGGUGCUCAGCUUCGAUGAGUUCAAAAUCAUGAUGCUGAGCUAAGUAUUCCAAGCACAUGCAUAUAAUUUGAUAUUACUACGCGACUAAUCGAACUAAGAAUUUUUUCAUUUAUUUUUCUACUACGGGAUUUUAAAAAUGAAUAUUGGAUUUGAUUCUUUUGUAAGUUUAUUUGUUCAUGCGAUCAUUUAUCGCAUUUAAUAAAAAUGAAUAUUUUGCUACUAUAUCAAAGCUAUCUAUGACACGAGUUCGAUCAAACUAGAUACUCUUCUCACCAGUAUCUAACACCACCAUCUUAAUAUACUCCACUCCAUCAAACCCUCGGAGGGGAAAGCAAAGCAAAACAUAUUUACCACAAUCUGCUCAAGGCCAAAGAAAGAAAAUUUGACUGGAGGACAAAUAUGGACCGAAGUAGUCUCAAAGCUACCAUGAUUUGUAAUUGAUAUAUUGAUGUAAGUUCUUCCUUUCUGAAUUAGAUAAAUUCAUAUCGAAGAGGAAUCAUCUCUAUGUUUGAGGCAUUCCCAAAAAAUUCAGGAUCGACUGAAUAGUUCUACGAACAAAUUAGAGGUUCAUCUCAAUCUUUUGCAUAAAUUAAGUAGUAAUCCUUGCUAUUUAACCAAUUGCUUCUUUCCAUGGAGCUUUCCUUUCUUGCUGUUGAAAAGCCGGUAGUGUAUGCUGAGGUGGUGCGCUCUGAGAUGACUAUGCAUUACUCCAAGAGAAGUUUGAAUGAUUUCUCCAACCCAAAAUCAUAUGUGUUGGAGAGGGGGUUUGUAGUGAAAGGAUAAAAAAAUUAUUUUGUUUCGUUUUAAAAUAAAAUUUUCUUGUAGAACUCGAAUAAAUUUUGGGUUAUACUACGACCCUUUCUUAAGUGUUCAAAUUAAAGCUUUGGUUAUGAUUGUAAAAUUUUGCGUACUUGUUUUUUUAAAAAUAAAUAAUUUUUUUUUAAGGCAUUGAAAUCCCUUUUAGACGACAAAUUUUCAUUUUAUUACAUUAUUUUUUUUUACGACACAUUCAUCACUGGAAACACACGAAUACUCAAUAGUUGCACACAUAUUGAUCACAUCUAUUCUCAGAUAAAAAUUUUCUUGCCCAAAUGAUAGAUAAGCUAUGCUCGAUCGAUUCUCUACUACUGAUGGAACAACUUAGUCCCUCAUUUUCGUUAGCCACAACUACAAUCGAAUGUGCUUCAUUUUCAUUCACCAUAAUGGCGAU